rnacentral:lncRNA from 1 species
AAAACUUAUUAUUAUUAAAAUGAUCUGAACUGUUUCAAAGACCCAACAUGCAUUUUUUUUGCAUUGGGCUCUUUCAUUAACUGAUAUUUAUAGCAGUUAGUCUGCCAUUUUUUUUCUUGACAGAAAAAAAGAUAAGGAAAUGGCUCCAUGUGCUCUGAUUCAUUAUUUGGGAGCAUUACCAAAGUGUUUCAAAGGUGGGAUUAUCUUGACGUAGGUCUGUCUCUGGCCUAAAUAAACCUAAGUUAAACAUAAUUGUAUAAAUUCAGUUCAACAGAAACCAAUUUCAAAACAGCAAAUCCUCCAAAGAAUCUUAUACCUUAUAACCAUAUAUUAAAAUAUUAGCACAAAAAUAAAAAUAUCAGAUCAUACCUUUGUUUGUUAGAUCGUUUAGUUUUGGUGUUGAAUCCAUUAGCUAUUGCAUAUCUUGCCAUAACUGCAACCAAAGUUUGCUUAUCAUUAUAAAGCUGAUCAACCUUUAUUUCGGUGUUCUUGCAGUCAGUAAUGAAGUUUUUCACUUCAAAUUCAGGAACGUAUAAUGCAUACUGAUUUUGCGUUUCAACGACCAUUACCGCAACUGAAUCAUAUUCACUAUCUUCAAUACAAAGUACAACCCCUAUUUUUCUAUCAAACUCGAUAUCCUUAUUCGACUUGUCGAAAGCGGAAAUACACAACGGAAAUACACAGUAAAAAAUUAACCAAUCCAGAAAAUUAUUUCUUCAACUCAAUGUAAACUCUCACUCCAUUGUACUUCCUUAUGUUAAUUAAAGAAGAAUUACCUUCAACAAUGUAUUUAACUUCAAUUUUUUUACGUACUUCAUCAAUAUUCAAUUUCAUGAAGAUCGUAGAAAUCAAUUUCAAGAAAGUUACUUUUCGAAACAAUAAUUGCAUCACUUUUGUACGAUUGAUAACCGAUUUGCGACUUCCAGAUACCCGAAUAUAGCAACAAUAUGGUAAUGUUCAUAUUUAUUAUUUAGAGAACAGAAGAACGCAUAUGAAGAAACUUUUUUUUUCCCUGAUUGUAAAUCUACAAAGAAGAAGACUUUAUUGUGAUGUUUAAAAAAAUAUUAGAAUUUAAAUUUCAGUACUAUAAUUACUCAUACACUACAUAAUGUUAACUAAUUAAUGGCGGGGUUAAUUAAGGAACAGUAAGAUACUAUCUGAUUUAUCUUACCUUAAAUAUAGGAUUAACAGUUUUAUCAUACAUUCCAACUAUAUAUGAGAGAUGUCCGAAUGUAUGAGUAUAUUUACAAAAUCUGAGAGAGAAAGCCUGAAGGAAUUUUAUGUAAUUACUUUGUCUAGGGAGGGGAUUUAUAUAGUUUAUAAAUAUUAUUUCAUGAACAUAUUUGAUUUCAUUAUUGGAUUGUAUCAACAACAUGUUUUCUCAGAUGAGCAAUUGUACGUGGCCCUUUCAAGAGGAAUAUCAAUGGCCAAAAUAAGAGUUUUGGUUAUGAAAGAACAACCAGAUCGGAAGUCAGAAACUCGGAAGACAGAAACAUACAUGAAAUAUCGUCCAUAAGGAAGUAUUAGAUGAGAUAUGAUAUCUAACAUAUUUCAAAUUAAUCAAAUCUAAAUAAAUAUAUAAAUUACAUGUAUCUUAUUAUAAUUCCAUUAUGUUGAUUUUAUAGGAUCAGGUCUAUAAGAUGAGACAUAACUUUCCGCAUUCAACUUUUCCAAAAUGUAUCUAUUCUUUAAAUUUUUUGCAACUAUAUAAUGAUAUCAUCAUUUUCCUUAGUAGGCAGAAAAAGGCACCAAUUUAUUAUUUUGUGAUGAAUUAUUUAUUCAAAAGAUUGGUCAAAUUGAAUCAACAAUACAACAUAUCAAAAGCAAAAAAAAGUAACGUCCCUGCAUAAGCAUAGCCACGACUUCAAUGCAUCCUCUUCAAAAACAAAACAACCAUGGCAAUUCAAUGUCAAUAUCCAACUCGCUAAACUAAAAUUGUUAGUUAUAAAUGCUACUAUACAUUACUAUCAUCCACGGUUUAUCACCUACAGAAUUUACUUCAGAUUUUAUUUAUUAUCCAACUUAAAUUAUGUGCUAAGUAUUUCGCACUACACAUUGCACAAACCUAGCCUACUUUUGCUCUUCCAGUAUGAACUUAAUUCAUAUUAGUACUAUAGAUGAUUACUUACGUAAUAUAUUAUAGAUAUUAAGUUCUCAUUCACAUUCAUAGGAUCAAUUAAUUAAAUAUAUUUAUGGUCAAACCUUGCCUUAUUAGAAGUCAUCAUAAUUAAUGACAACUAAUACUUUUUCAUUAGUUUAAGAAUUAUAAAUCAACAAAAUAUGAUUUUAAGAACAUUUAAAAAAUUUAGAAAUAAAUAUAAAAGUGUUGAAAUAAAAAAAAUUAAGAAGUACCACAUUUUUAAAAUUUUCAAUACGCAAUAAGAAUGUAAUCAAUGAUUUUGUAAAGAUUUGACUUUAAAAAUAAGAGAAGAUUUAAAAUAUAGGAAAAAAAAUUGUACCACAAAUAUGUGUCUCUCUCAGCCGCCCAUAGCAAGGAAAAUAGGUAUUGAAUGACAAAACGGAAAAUUGAUGAUCCGUCUACCACUUGAAACAUCUGGCGGUAAAAUAUAUAUAUAUGUUUAUACUAAAAUAUAUGUUUUUUUAAUAUUAUUAUAUUAAAGUGUGAAACAUCUCUAAAAAAAUGUUUUGAAUUGUUUACACUUCAUUAAAAAUCUCUAUAAUAAAUAAAAUUAUUUAGUUUUAAAUAAACAGAUGUUACACAUGCGAGGCACGUGUGAUUACACCAGCUUUAGCUUAUUUUAAUUUUUCAAAUAACUUCACUAAGCUCAGCAAUAUCACGUCUCCACAUCUUGUAUUUCGAUCCUAAUAAAUCAUAUACCGACAUAAUUUUUCUCACCCUCCCAUGUAAUUUAACAAUUGGUGAUCGUUUCCUAUGUAUUUUUACUAAAAUUUACACAUAUACACUAAAUAAAAAAAUUUUAUUACAUAAUAUACUAAUUUGGUAAAGUAUUUACACAUAUCCCAAAAUAUUUAUACAAAUUCCUUUAUUUUCAACUUUCUCUCUCUUAAACAUUAUAUAUCUCUAAAAAGGUUUUCUCUUCCGUAUUUUACUCCCUCAUAUCCUCCCACAACACACGAUAUUUACUCCAUAAUUGAAUCCCCUUAUUCUCAGCAAAAUUCAAGAAUCGUGUAUCUGGGAGUUACAAUUUGUAAGUUUGAAGAUUUUUUUUUCUUUUUUUUUCAACUUUUUCAAUUUUUGAAAUUGACCGUAUAUUUUGUUGUCGUGGCAUGUUUGUUUUUACCUUAUUUUGCAAGUAUUUUCAAGUUUCGUAGUUUGAUUUUUAUGUUUUCUUCAUAUAAUACAUUUUCGAUUCUUGGUUUGUAGAUUAUUUUUUUUCAAAUUUACCUAUUUUUGUAUUUUUUAGUUUAUUUUAUGAAUGCAUGUUUGGUUUUAAGGAUUUACCACAUUUUUGCAAGUAUUUUCAAGUUUCGUAGUUGAUUCGGGUUAAUUGAAUUACUGAAAAAAAUUGCUAAUGGAUUCUAGUCCUAGCUUUAGUUUAGGACUUAAGUCAGUUAGAUUCUAAAAAACAAGAUAUACCUGUUGGGUUUGUUCCUGGUAUAUUUCAUUUUGAAGAACCCGAUUUCUCAAAGAAUCGUUCAAAGCAUCGAAAUGACCCCACAACAAUGAAGAGAUUGAAGAUAGCGGUCACUUCCAAAUCAAAGAAAUCAAGUUCAAAAACGGCCAGUAAGAAGAAGUUUGAUGAUUCCGGUAGACCACGUCUUCCGAAGGUAUUGAUUAAACAUUAUACUUUACUUACGUUGCAACAUUAUUGUAUAAUAUAGUGGAACAUACAAUUUUGUGCAGCACUAAUGUAUAAUAUUACUAUUAUGUUAUACAUUUCAUUUUUUUAUACAUUGGAUGUUUUUAUUACAUAUAAGAGGCAUUUGAAACUGGGUGUGUUAUUAUACAUUUAUGAAGUUUUCGUUUUGUAUAAUGUUCUAUUAUACAUUCUGACAACAUUACAUGUCAUAUAUGUUUAAGAUGAAAUGUUUAAUCUGACAUUAUACAUUGUAUAUAUUUGAUUAUUAAUGUGUAAUGUUAUUACAUAAAUCUUUUUAUACAUUGCUUUCCAUACUCUUAUUAUACAUAAAAGGUAUUGUAUGAUUUAGUUUAUAUUAUACAUUUAGUGAGUUUUCAUAGUGUAUAAAAUGACAUUAUACAUCUGAAUAACUGAUAUGUCAUACAUGCUUUUAAUGAGAACUAUUUUAGUAUGCAACAUUAUACAUUAGUGCAUCUAAAACAUGUGUAACUUUUCCUGUAAUUAUUAUAUAUUUUCUUAUUUCAGGGCAUGAAAUACCGUAUAGAUAAAGUCCCGGAGCACUCUUCGCAUAUUUUGAGCUUAUGCAACCGUGGUUUUGCUACAGAAAUAAAAUCUUAUUUUGGAGAAGAUAUUUUAAAGGCAUUUAGAAAUACGUUAUUUGGGAUUUUUCUUGACCUUCCGCAGUGCAACUGGAUUGGGCAGAUUUCAAAAUGUAACCUUAUACGAGAAAUCCAACAAGAUAUUAAGGAUGAGAUACAUGUGUGUGUGCAGGGGAAAAUUUUAAAAUUUACAAUGCUUGAAUUUGUCAUUAUCACCGGUCUGAAAUACACCGGUGAUAUUGAUGAGUUUAUGUAUACAUCAUCAUCAAAAUCCCCUUUGAUGUCGAAGUAUUUUCCUGAAUCUAGAGGUGGUAUAACUAGGUCAAAACUGAUAACACGUGUGAAGAUGGAAAAUUUAGAGAACUCUGAAAAUUCUUUGAACCUUGCGAUAUUAUAUUUUUUUUAUACAUUCAUGUUAUCUCAGCAUAAAGAAGCACCAAUCAGUUUAGCUCACUUCCAAAUGAUCGAGGAUGGUCGGUACAUACACUUUCCAUGGGGAAAGAUAACUCUUGAAAAGUUGAUCAACUCGUGGCGGCAGGAUUUCAAAGUCGUAAAGAAGUUAUAUUCUUUGAGUGGAAUGCCCCACGCUCUAAAUAUUUGAAUAUUUGAGUGUUGCUCUGCGGUAGAUAAAAAACUGUUUUGCGACAUGAAAACAUCAUCCCAAGAAUACUUAAUUGGUCUAUUGAGUGUACAAGGCCUAAGUAUGAAUCUUUUAUGUCUGACAUGUUCAGUAAGGUAAUUGUAUAACAUGUUAAAUAUUUUUAUUUUAUACUCACUUUAUCAAAGUUCUAAUAUUUCAUUUUGAAAAUAAUUUUGUUAGUGUUUUUUCAAGAAUUUACAGCUUACAAACGAAGAAGUUCGUACUUUAGAUAUGUCUUUCUCUGAGGAUUUUGUGAUUUUUGAUCCAAUAUUUGCUGCUUCCACUUCUGUUAGUGCAAAAAUGCAAACAGAAAGCGAUGAAGAUCAAUCGCGUGUUGUCACUAGAAAUGACGACUAUGAUGAUUUCACCACUGUACCUACUCAGGAAUUUCUAAGAAAGGCUCGUUUGACUAAACCUAUAUCAACUGAACAACCAUCCAAAAGAAGAAAAAUAGUUAUGUUUCAGGAGUUAGUCUAGCUGCGACAGAUGGAUAGAAAUCAACAAGUUCUCAUUCAGUACAUCAUGUGUCUGAUAUGUUUUCUAAAAAAAAAUUACAAUUAAUAGAUAAACUACAAAUUCGUGUGACUGAUUUUGAUCAUCGUCAUCCAGUAGAAAUCGGUGUGUCUCCUAAGUGCGAACAACUCAAGUCUGUUCCUUUGUCUUCCACAACGCCUGAAGGGACUUCUAAGUCUAAUUUAGAUAUGGAGCAGAUAAAGAGUUACAUCAAAACAUAUGUAAGUUAAUUUUCUUAUUCACAAAUUUUAAUUUUAAAAAACUAUUACUUGUUUCUAAUAGCUUAUUGUUUAUCUGUACAUUAUAAGGUGAAUGAAAAAAUUGCUGAGAUGAAAACACUAAUCUCCAAUAUACCUGAUGAGGUCGUUAAAGCAUUGAAGAAAGAAGAUAAUAAAGAAUCUUCAGUAUAAAAAGAAUUUUCAUUCAAAUUUUUAAUACUUUGAACAAAUACUCAUACAUUAGUAUUAGAGAAAAUUGUUCAUCAACAAAAAGGUGCAGAAGAAGGAUAAAAAAUAAAUGUUAGUGUUUAUAAGAAUGAUUUGUCAGUAAUGUUAAUCUAAAUUAAAUUGGCAUGUUACCAUAAAUCUGUAUAUCUCCAACAUCUUAACUUAUUUUUAUUUGGUUCUUAUACAGCAUGAAGAUGAGUACACGGGACCAGUCAUUCACAUAACAAAUGAUGAACCAUCAGUACUUGAACCUUUUGAAACAGAGAUCUAAGAUUGUGUCCACAUUCAUACUGAAUGUCCAACAAUAGCUGAGGUUCAAUUCGAUCAGAAGGUAUAUAUAUGAUAUCCAUAAAUAUGGUUAUACAAUGUAGAUAUCAAAUUAUAAAAAUAUUUUCAUUCAUCAUUAUAUAAAUUUGAUUAAAUCCACAAACAUUCACUUGUCAAUAUUUUGUAGGAUGAGCAAAUGAAAGAUCAAGAAGAGGGACAUGAAGAAGAAUCGAAAAACAUGCACAUUACUGAUAUGGAAAAUAUAUCGGUACAUUUUGGUCUAUCAUGUUGGUUUGUUCUUGGAUGAAUAUCAAUAUUUUAAAACGCUUUACUUGUAGGCUGUUACAGAAUUAUUACACAUACAUUUGAAUGUAUAUUGAUAUGUUAUACAUUAUUAAUACUAAUAGUAUAUUUCAGAAAAAGAAUGUUCUUUUAUUUUGAGACUGUUUCAGUAUAAUUAUACAUUUGAGUGUAUAACAUUAUGUUAUACAUUAAAUUAUCAUAUAACAAAUACAUAUGGAUUUGUUAUACAUAUCAAUUUUAAAUCACCGGUGCAUAUUUUUUUCAUUCAACUACGUAUCACUUUGACUAAGCUUUUAUGGAUGAUGCUUGUUACUGAAUGUAGGAAGAGCAUAAUGAUGCAAUAGAGGCAGGUUGUACUGAAGAUCCGAGCAUAUAGCAUAGCCCUCAAAUGAAACAUUUAGAGGUAUUUUUUUGAUUGUUCAUAUUUUUUAUUAACUCAAAACUUACAUGCUUAUACAUUCACAUCCAUGCCAACUACAUAUCAAAUUUUAUAAAAAGGUUUUCAUUCACCAUUGUAUGACUUUUCAAAUUACUAUUACAAAAUUUUUUUCUCUUGCACUAUAUCUUACUUGAAUAAUUUGCACUGUAAUACUAUCUUAUUUUGAUAUUGUCUUAGUUUUAUUAUACAUUCAUUUGAAUGUAUAACAUUAUGUUAUACACUGAAAUAAAUUUAAAUACAUGAUGAUUGUUACUGAAUGUAGGAUUAGCAUAAUGCUGCAAUAAAAGCAGGUUGUACUGAAUAACUAAGCAUACAUUUAGAGGUAUUUUUUUGUUGUUCAUGUUGUUUAUCAACUCAAAACUUACAUGCUUAUACCUUCACAUUCAUGACUAAUAGAUAUCAAAUUAUAUAUAUAUCUUUUCAUUCAUCAUUGUAUAGCAUUUAAAAUCACUAUUACAAAAUUUUUUCCUCUAGAACUAUGUCAUACUUUGAAUUAUUUGCAUCGUAAUGCUAUCUUAUUUUGAGACUAUCUCAAUUUCAUUAUACGUUCAUUUGAAUGUAUAACAUUAUGUUAUACAUUAAACCAGCAUAUGAAAACUACAUGUGAAUUUGUUAUACAUAUCAAUUUUAAAUGUAUAACAGUACUUUAUACAUUCAUAAAGAUUAUUAUACAUUCAUAUUCAAUUUUUAUAUAUAGAGAUUACAAAAUACCUUGACAUAUUUAUUUUCUUACAUAAUGAUUUUGAUUACAAUAGGAUGAGUAUAUUGCCGCAAAAGAAUCAUGUUGUGCUGACGAAUUGAACAAACAUCAAAGUACUGAUAUGAAAGAUUUGCAGGUAUUUUUUUGACAAUUCAUAUGUUGUUUUUUAACUAAAAACCUAUCUAAAUUAACGUACCUGUUGUUUAGGUAUCACUAUCAUUAAAUAUUAAUAUGUUUGAUUUUACACAUAACACAUCAAUCUUUAAUCUGUAGGAUGAUGUGAAUGCCACACUAACGAAGUCUGUUCAAGAUGCUUUAGAUGCACUAAUAUUUAGGUUGUCAACACCUUCGAAUACAAAUAAAUUCGAUGUUGUUACACCAAAUUUAGUGACGGAAAGCCAGUGAUCACUUCCAGAUAGUCAGUUUCCACCUGACUUUCCUGAUGCAUAAGAAAGGGAGCUUGAAGCAGCAAAAGCACGUGAAGUAAAACAGAAAUCACCUGUAAAAAAAGACAGAAAAAAGUCAAAGAUUUUUAGGUCACCAUAUAUCACAAAAUUUGGAUCGAGCUCUAAAGAUGAGGGCAGCUCUGAUAAUGAAGAGAAGCAGAGGUAUGCUUUUGAUAGUUGUACCAUUAUCGAAGACUUGCCUAAUUAAUUGAUCAAUGAUUAUUCACAGUGGCUUGAAAUUGGGUUACUAAAAUAUCAUGCUUCAAAGUAAGUUAUUUAGAAAGAUUACUAAAUUAUUGAAAAUAGUACAUAAGAAUAAAACUUGGUUAAGUCUAAUGCUUGUUUAUGUUACACGAAACAAACAGACAAUCACUAUCUAAAAAAUGCUCCAGGAUUAGGUUAUUCUCUUUUGGACUUUAUUGUUGCACAAGCACUCUCAAAGAAUUGGUUGUACUUGAUAUCGCAACGCAAAAUGUGUUGGAAUGAUGAGGUAAAUUAAACUAAAUUAUAUCAUGCUUGUUUAAACUUUUACUAAAAAUAUUCUAAUUGUUACAUAAUACAUACAAUAUAUUGUAUGAUUACAUAUCUUAUAUAUGGUGUGAUGUAGAAUCACUUUUUAUACAUUUAAUUUUAACACCUCAUACAAUGAUGUUCUUUGUUGAAAACAUAAUAAUAACUAAAAUAUAUGACUUCGAAUUUAUUUUAUGACACAAUUUCAUACAUGUGGUAUGAUAUGUUCAUGUCAAUUAUCAAUACAUAAUAAUAACUAAAACUUAUGUAUUAGAAUCUGUUGUACGAUUAAAAAGUACAUAAUACAUAAAAUCUAUUGUAUAGUUACAUAUCAUACAUGUGGUGUGAUGUAUAAUCACAUUUUAAACAGGUAAUGCUAACAGAUCAUACAUUUCUGUUCUUUGUUAUGUAGUAUUAUUUUAUGAAUAAAAAUUAUACAUGUAGUAUUACAUUUAAUCAGAUUUUAUACAUGUUAUGUUAACAUAUCAUACAUUAAUGAACAUUCUCAAUACAUAAUAAUAACUAAAACAUAUGCAUUAGAAUCUGUUGUAUGAAUAAAUACCAUACAUGUUAUGAAGUGUAUAAUCACAUUAUAUAGAUGUAAUGGUAAUAGAUCAUUCAUUCAACUUCUUGCGUAAUACAUAUUAAUAACGUAUUCUUAUACAGUUUUCUUUCAUUGCUUAACAUAACGUAACCCAUUUUAACAUGUAGAACUUAGAUGUGAUAUUAUACCAUUUGAGAAAAAAACUAAAGUUUCAGCAGAGUGAUACAUAUAGAUAUACGACAAUCAGCUACUUCUUCAAAACAUAUAUGAAAAAAACAUACGAACGAUAUUUUCCAAUAGUUAAAACAGAUCAGAUAUCCACGCAAGAAGACUACACAGAAUUUAUUGCUUGUGCUUCUAAUGAAAUCGCUAUAACAAAUAUAAUUAAUGGAUUCUGUAUUUCUAGGGUUUACCAUGACAUUUGGUUGAUGAGGUAUAUGUUCCUGUUAACUAUGGAAAAGAAUAUCACUAGAUAUUAGCUGUAAUUGUAUUAAAGGAGAGAACAAUACGUGUGUAUGACACAUUGUCGAGCAAAAAGAAAAGUGAACCACCAACUGAAAUACGAAAGUUAGCAGCCAUGCUACCUACCUACUUGUCGGACAGUGGUGUUUAUGAAAAGACUGAACGAAUUGAUUGGUCAACACUUAAAGCGUACGAAGGGAAUCUAGUCUGCAAACUGGUGAGAUAAGUCACAACCCAUUUAAUGUUGAACACGUCCAAAACAUUGCACAACAAACGUCUGAUAGUUUAUAAGUAUCUCUUAUUUUUUAAAUUUUCACAUGUAUAAUCAUGGUAAAUUACUAAACUUAUCGGUUUUUCAUUUUAUUAAAAAUUCAGGGACUGCGAGGUAUUUGUGGCUGCAUAUGCAGAAAUAUUGAGUGAAAGGCAGCAAGUUCAUUCAUGUGAGUUUGAAGCUGCUAGUCAACGUGCACGGUGCUUCGUUACUAUGGCAUUACAGAGUGACGAAGGUAAAGAAAGGUUAUACGAGUGAUAAUGAUGAUCCUCCUCAAUCAAAGAAUACUUUUCUCCAAUCACCUGAUGAAAGUGCAAUUGUUACUUUGGACUAGCUCAUUCUAAAAAUUAUUCUAAUUCCUUUUUUUGUUAUUUCUGAUAAAUAGUUAAAUACAGUAAUGUUUUUUUGAAUGUUGGUUUUUAGGCAACAUUAUAUAGAUGGCAGCUUUUGGUUCUAAUACAUUUAGAUUUACAUAAACUCUUUUCUGCUUGUUCUAUAUUGUUUGUUAAUUACUCAUUUUACCCAACAUAAUAUUAAUAACACUGUAUAACAAUAAUUUACAUAUUAAUAAUUAUAUAUAUGUAAAACAUUAUAUUUUUUUUCCAGCAUUAAAGAAGUUAAUACUAUAUUAUGAGUUAAUUAUACAUAAAAUAGGUAUAAAGUUAUUUUGGAUAAAUUCAGUAGAUAAUAUCAUACAUGUUGAAACAAUAUCAUUGCUUAAUUGAAAACAACUUCGGAAUUCAAAAAUUUUUAAGAAGAAUAACAGUAGAUCGUAAAUUGUAAACAAACUCAAAGUAUCAACCUUUAGACAUAAUACUGAUAACAAAACAAAAAUAUUUUUUAUUAUCAUACAUACAUCUUAAUGUAUAAUCCAUAAUCUUCACACAAAUUUGUCUGCUUCAUAUUUUGGUAGUUCUUAUACUUUUUAAAGACAUUUACUUUAAAAUCGUACAUGUUGUCAACGAAUAAUAUCAUACAUGUUAAAUGUAUUAUACAUUAUAACUACAUAUUACUACGUUGCAAUAAUGAGCAGUAAAGUCAAAAAAUAUAAUAAUUCAAAACGUUAUUACUUUGUUUCCAAAAUGUCAUACAUUAAGUCAUAAUUAAAAAGCACAUACCAAAUAAAAACAUAAAAUAAACUUCAACAAUCAAAUCAACAAAAAAAAAAUCAGGUUCUGUAGUUAUAUCCAAACGAACACUUAGCAUUUAGAACAACAAACUAAAAUCUUCAACUUUCUUUUGGGAAGAAACAGCACGUCAUACGGUUGUGUCCUGCACGCCCGCAUUUACCGCAAUGGUUUGAACUUGUAAGUGAUUCACUAGAUUUCAAAUGUCUUUCUUUUUUUGGCGUCCCAGGAGGUCUUCUGUAUUUGGGUGGCAAAACUUCGCCGUCAUCAACAAAAUCUGAAACAAUCCAAUCUUUCAUAUCUGGCAUAGGAAUUAUGGGGAGUUUAUAUGUCUUGACAAUGGUGUUUGGACGAUACAAUUCUGAACACUAACGCCCAUACUCUUUCACAUCAAUAUUUAUACUCUUCAAAACCGCAAUUACGUGUGGACAUGGAAUUUCAUCAAUUUGAUACCGACAACAGUUACACGUGCCACGAUCAAUAUCAACAAUGUACCUCCUUCCUGAUUCAUACACACAGUACAGAUAACUACCAGCUGCCUUAACCUGUUAGCAAUGACUAAUUUUAUACAGUUAAAAAUAUAAAAAUUAAUAACAAAUAUAAAGUAGAUUCAACUUUCAUAAUAUAUACCAUCAUCCGCAACGAUUUAACCCCAUUAUCAGUUAGUAUUUCUUGAAAUCUUAUCCCAAGCGAUGUGUUUGUGUAAGAUGCAAUUUCACUGUUCUUACAAUUUUAUACAGCAAAUAGAAUCCUAACUUCUUUAAGGAAACCUAAAAUAGGAAGUACUCUAGCCUCUACCAAACAACCGUUAAUACAUUCAGCUAUAUUAGAGGUCAUCAUUCUACCUCUAUUAACAGGGGAGUGACAUCGAGACCAUUUAUCAUAUCCAGUUUCUUCCAGAUAUUCUUUAACCCUUGGAUCAACCUUUCCAACCUUUGACAUAAUGUAAUCAAAAUCUUCUUUUCUAUACGCUUUAGCCAUGGAAAAAUAAAGGUCACUAAGUCUAUCUUUGCUUUUUCUAAAAUAUUUACAAAUAUUUUUUCAUAAAUGCCAAAUACAUGCAAGAUGGGGAUAUUAGGAUAAACAAUGCUCACACCUUUUAUGAUACUCUCAUUUCUAUCCGAUACAACACAUAUGUUGUCCUAUUCUCCAAAUGAUUCGCUAAAUUAAUGAAAAAACCCUGUCCAAGAAUUGUCAUUUUUAGAAUCCACUACACCGUAAGCUAAUGGAAGAAUACAUCCUUAAAAAAAAAAACAAUUGUAUAGUAUCCAUUGAUCAGGUCUCUAAUUAAUUUACAUUUAGGUAAUAUAUGACAUCAUACAUGUUGUCCCACCUUUAUCACUUAAUUGAAAUCAACUAAAAUAUAUAACUCCACACAUUUUAAUAAUGUAUAACAAUACAUCAUAAUAGAAAACAUACUGUUAGGGAUCUAUAGAUUUAAUUAUUAGUAAAUGUAUCAGACAUUUAACGUACAAUUGAUAAGAAAGUAUGGAUAUUUUACAACAUCAUACAUACACCAUGAAGUAUAAUAGCUAUCAUAGCCCACAAAGAAAAAUUUAAUCACAUUUUACUCUUUCAAUUAUAAAAUCAAAAUGACAUUUCUAAGAUUAUUUAAAUAGAAACUAGCAUCUACUUUAUAGAAAACAUCAAUAACACAAAAUGAAAGGAGUAUAUUGGUACUAUAUGUACUCAUUAAGCACAUUCAAUUUUUAUUAUACAUACUAGAGCAACAUAUAAUUAGCUAGAAUGCAUGCACAAUGCUGAAAUACCAAAUGUAAUUAUUUCAAAGUAUAAUACCUACACCAUCAAGAGUGCUCGCCGAUACAAAUGUUCCUUGAUAUGGCCUACUUAAAUGUGCACCAUCUGCAACUACUACUGGACGACAAAAUUCAAACCCCCUUAUCAUGGGAUGUAAGGCAAUAAACAAGUAUUUAAACUCGUUAUCUAAUGCCUUAUGCAUCCGAAUAUAUGAUCCAGGAUAUACCUGGUUCAACAUAUAUAUAUAGCGGGGCAUUUUUCGAUAUCCAUCAGCUGGUCCACCUCUAAGCAUCGCAAUUGCCUUUCCUUUUGCCCGCCAAGCCAUCAUGUAGUUAAUAUCAACACCGUAGACGACUUUCAUCUCUUCAAUUAUGUCUGCCGCUGUGUGUAUUCUCUUGUAAUUAAUUAACUUUGGUGCAGUAAACUCACUAACAAAAGUUUUUGUUGCAACUAAAUUAUUCAGUACUCUAUCACUCAGGCUGCAACUAUGUUCCGAAUCAAAUGUCUUUGUCACAAAGAUUUCCGAAUGAUUCAUCGAAUACGCCUUCAGGACCUAUUUACAAUCUUUGAUACAACAUGUAACACAUAGCUGUAGUUACAAUUUUAAAACAUGUCGUCAAUUUAUUAACAUACAUAUAAAAUCUAUAAUUUAAAUAAAAAUAUCAUAACUAAAUUGUUACAGUUUUAUUAUACAUUCGAAGAAAUGUAUGAUGGAAUAUUAUACACCGUAAAUGUAACUCUAUUUUGUACAAACAACAAAGUCAGAAAUUAAAGUCAAUAAUAAAACUCCUUAAACAAAUGCUAUUACAACACAACAAUAUCCUUCACAACAUCUACAAAUAAAAAAUAAUAAUUUAUUUUGUACCUUUCUUGUCAGAUCAUUUAGUAAAGGUGUUAAAGCCAUUCGAUAUUGCAUAUUUCGCCAUAACUGAUAUCAAAGUAUUUUUAUCCUUAUAAAGUUGGUUCACUUUUAUUUCAGUGUUCUUGCAAUCAGUAAUGAAGUUAUUAACUUCAAUUUCUGGAACGUAUAAUGAAUACUGAUUCUGCGUUUCAACAAUAGUUAAAGAAACCGAAUCAGAUUCACUACCUUCAAUACUCAUUACAACCCCAAUUUCGCUAUCAAACUCGAUAUCCUUAAUCGAUUUGUUGGAAGUUGUUAUACAUAGCGGAAAACUUAUAAGCCCAUAACAUUUUUUCUUCAACUCAAUAUAAACUUUCACUCCAUUAUCAUUUCUUAUGAUAAUUGGAGAAGAUUUUCCACCAACAAUGUAUUUUACUUCAAUUUUUUUCAAACAUCAUCAAUACCCAAUUCCAUCGCGAUUGUCGCAACCAAUUUCACAAAGUUAAUACUUUCUGAAACAACAAUGGCAUCACUUUUGUAUGCUUUAAAAACUUAUUUCCGUCUCCCAUACACCGGAAUGACGCAACAAUAUUGGGAUGUUCAUCUUUUUUCUCACAAUAAAUUAUGAGCAAAUAUUUUUUUCCCAGAAUAGUAAAUAAGAAAAGAAGACAAUUAGAGGUAAUGUUUAAGAGUUUUUGUUUUUGAAAUUCAAAUUUUAAUUACUAUUUUAACUCAUACAAUAAUUAACAUCAGGUAAUUAAAUGAUUUAAUUUAAGGAAUAGGAAUACAUUUACUGAUUCCUUAACCCUUAAAUUUAGGUAAAUCAGAUUUAUCAUACAUUCAGCGAAUGUAUAACAACCACCCGAAUGUAUGAUAAUAUUUUGCAUAAUAGGGAGAGAGAAAGUCUAAAGGAAAAUUAUGUAAAUAGUUUCACUUUAUGCGGUAUAUAUGUGGUUUAUACAUAUUGGUAUAUAUGUUGUUUAUACAUAUUUUUACUAUGUGUAUGAAAAUGUUAUUGAGGCGUAUUAUUAUGGUUGUUAAUUAUAGACUUUGGACUUCAAUUACUAUUUAAUGCGGAGGACCUGAAUUUUCACCUUUUUCCAUUGAUGAUAUUAUUCUUACAGGUAUGAUCAAUCAUUGCCAUUCGAUUGUGGACAUUCUAAUCAAUUCAUGACCAUUUCGAGCUAAAAAAUAAAUUACUCUAAGUUUAAAAUAUUUUUUUUCUAAGAAUUGCCCUGAAAGCAAUAAACAUUUUGCAUUGGCAAUAUUCAGUUUCAAACAUUUUGCAUUGGCAAUCUUCAGUUUCAAGAAGGCCGUAAUUUUAACAAAUAUUAAACUUUUCCUAUUUUAUAUACCAGACCCACAAAACCUGACUAUCAAUUCAUCAUUUAUUUUUACUCUUCAAAUUUAUUUGUAAAUUUUUUUAAAAAAAAUGACCACAAAAAAUAAUUUUUAAUGAAAUCGAUCCAGAGUUAGAUUUUUUAGCGCUAGAAAUUGGAAAAAUGCAAACUAACUUUUGGAUGUCAAUUACAUGAAAAAUAAUUUUGACAAAAUCAACCUCAAGAUGUUGGUAUUUUUAGUGCCCUAAAUCAGAAAGAUGCAAAUCAACUUUCGAAUGACCAAUUUUUAAUCAAAGACUUGCAAAAUACCAAGCUCUAGAGUUUGACUUUUAAUUAUUUUUUAGAUUUUUUUAAUAAAUCGACCUCUAUUAGUUAUUUUCAUAAUUUUUUAUGAAAAAAAUGACGAGUAUAGUUAGGGGUGUCAAUUUCAGCUCAUAUUUGUGAAAAGAGUCCAUUUAACCCAUAUUUAGUGAAUUGGAUCACUCAUAUUUCAAAUGAGUAAAUAUGUAAUUCAAUUCAUUUUAAAAGCUCAUACAAAUAUGGACAAAAUGGGUAAAAUAUGGGUACCCAUUUAAACACAGAGAUCACCAACCUAUGCUUAAAGUUUCAGUUUUUUUUUUCUUUUCUAGUUUCUUUUCGUCUUCUUUUUUUCUUUCUUUUUUUCUUUAAUUUACUUUUUUUCUUUUUCAUUUUUUUUUACUCAUUCCUUAUAAUUUCUUUUUUUCUUUCUCAUUUUUAAUCUAUUUUUUUAUUUUUAUUUCUUUUUUCUUUGUAUUCUUUUUAUUUUUUCGCUUUCCCUUUUCUCAUUUUUAUUUCAUCAUUCGUAUUUGUUUGAGAUCUACAUGGGUUAAUAAAUAUAAACUUCUAAUUAUCCCACUUAGCUUAUAUAAUUCAUAACAUCUCUUAUCAAUUAAAUAUAAUCCAUAGUCUCACUCCUUUAUUAUUAUUUUUUUCUAUCUUUUAUUUCUCUUUUUUUUUCUUUCUUUUUUCCUUCCUUUAUUUUACUAUUUUUUUCUUUCUUUUUUCCUUUAAUUUACUUUUUUUUUUCAUUUUUUCCACUUAUUUUUUACUCGUUUCUUACACUUUUUUUCUUUCUUCUUUUUCAUCAUUUUUUCCUUUUUCAAUUUUAUUUUUUUGCCAUUUUUUUGUAUUUCUGUUUCCCCCUUUUUUCAUUCUUGGUUCGUCAUUUUUGUCAUUUUUCUUAUUUUUUUAUAUUCUUUUCCUCAUCUUUUUUUUGUCAUUGUAUUUUAUAUUUUUUUAUUUUAAAUUUAUUUGUAUCAUACUAUAUAUUUCAAAUAAAUUUAUUAUUUGAAUUUGAAUAGUUUAGUUGUCAAUAUGUGCAAUUUAUCAUUUGUAUUUAUAUACAAAUAAGUAUAUAAAUGAAAAAUCAACAUAAGUUGUCGAGCAGUGGAUGGGGCUGCUCCACCCUUAACCAGAGGUCGAGGGUACGACCCUGGUUAUGGAGAAAACUCUGUUGGGAGCGCUGCCUCCUUAAGGGCCCUGCAACGCCCUAUCUGAAUUAGUCGGAGCUCCAAUGCAGGCACCAGACAUCGGAUGAAUAUAUAUAUAUAUAUAUAUAUAUUAAUUAUAUUUUCUUGAGACUAAAAUAUAUACGUUUGAGGAUCCACAUAGCCCUCGAAUUAUAAAUGUUGGACGAAUAUAAAUCAAUAUGCGCUUAUGUUAUUUUCGUUAUCAUAAAAAAAAGAAGGAAACCAAAAAUAGAAAAAAAAUAAAAAAGUAGAAAGAGAGGUAGAAGUUAGAAAUAGAAGAGAGAAAAAAGCGUAAAGAAAGAAUUGAAGAAAAAAAAUACAAAAAAAAUCAAAAAGAAAAAAUAAUGAUAAAGGAGAAAAGGAAAAAGAAAAAAGAUGAUGGUGAAAAAAAUAUACUGAGUGUUUACGAUAUUUUAGUCAUCAUCCAUAAUUUACUUGACUUAACCAUGUUCUUCGAAAAUAAAAAAAUAUAAAACAUAAAAUACAAUCAAAAAAGAAAAAAAAAUAAGAAAGAAGUAAAAACAAAAAAAUAAAAAAUAGAAAAAAAGGAAAAGAAAAAAAAAGAAAAAAGAAAGAGAAACAAAGGGUAGAGGGUAGAGAUAAAAGAGAGAAAAAAAAAAAGAAAUGACAAAUAAAAUGAAAAAAGAAAAAAGAAAAGAAAAGUAGAGGCUACAUAUAGAAGAGAGACAAAAAAAAACUAAAAAGAAAAAAUUAAAAAAAAUGAAAAAAAAGUCAAGUUAAUAUGAUAUAGAAGUUUUAAGUUUUUGACUUAAGAGUUAAAGUGGGUUAAAAUUAUUUUUAUCCAAUUUAUAUUUGACUAAAUUUAUAUUUAUCUAUUUUUAUAUGAACGAAUUGCAAUCCAAAUCAUUUUUGUUCGAUUCAUAUUUAACCCGUCCAAAUUCAAUCUAAUAUAUCUGUUUGCCGGCCCUGAAUAUAGUUGAACAAAUAAAAAAUAAAGUCUGAUAAGAGCUUCAACCGACUAAGUCAAAAAGCUGGGUAGAUGAAUUUAUUGAAUUGGAAUCAGAGUUUAAAAGUGGGCCAAUAAUAAAAUCACUUGGAUUUAAAAUUUAGUGUAACCAUUAGUCAAAAGGUGUAAGUGAACAAAAAAUGCAACCAAAGAGAUACUUUUAGUAAAAUACUAGAGUAAUCACGAAUUAUGUGUAACAUUUGAUUAUUUAAAAUAAAAUAUUUUUAUUCAUUGCAGAUAUUUUUAAUAAAAUAUAAAAGUUUAAAUUACUUUUCUAAGAUUUUUUACAUUUUAAUAUAAUACUAUAAACAUAAAUAUAUAUUUUAGUGUAAGCACAUAUUAAUUUUAUCACCUGAAGUUUCAAGUGAUUGAUAGAUAAUCACUUUUGUGCAACAUCACACCUUUGAUAAAUAUCAGAAAGUGUUCUUGUGCCUCUAACAGGUUCAUCAUCAACAUCAUUAGCUAGAAAUUCUAGAUUUUUCUGCUUUACAUCAUCUUGCCAGCUCCAUGUGUCAUUCUCCAAGAACUUGACAUCCUUGUUAAAAAUCAGUUUGUCAUUUUGAGGCUGAUAAAUUAUGUAAGAUUUUGAUAGAUUGUUGUACUUUACAAAGAUUCCAGGUUCAGCCUUCUUAUCCAGUUUAUCUCUUUUCACCUGAGGUACAUAACAAAAACAAAGACAACCAAAUAUUUUCAGAAUUGUUAGCAAAGGUUUGUAGCCAAACCAAGCCUUAUAUGGUGUUUUCUUUUGCAAAGCCUUAAUUGGCAAUCUGUUUAGCAGAAAUACUGCAGUAUUGGCAGCUUCAGCCCAAAACUUCUUUGACAGCCCUUUCUUAUAGAGCAAACACCUUGUCAUCUCCAUUAGCGUCCUUUUAUUCCUUUCCACUACUCCAUUUUGUUGAGGAGUAUAGGGUGUCGUUAGCUGAUGCUCGAUUCCUGCUUCAUUCCAAAAGUUGUUGAGCUUUUAUGAAGUAUAGUCAGUUCCAUUAUCUGUUCUUAUCACCUAAAUUUUCCUACAACUUUAAUUUUCCACAAAAGCCUUAAAUUUCCAGAAUACAUCAACGACCUCAGAUUUAAAAUUCAGAAAAUAAAUCCAACAAUAUCUAGAACAAUCAUCAAUAAAGGCAAUGUAGUACUUACUACCAUUUAAAGAUGGUGUUUUAUGAGGUCCGCCUACGUCCGUAUGAAAAAGUUGCAACUUAUUCUUUGUCCUCCAUGAUGAAUUGUAAAAAGGAAGCCUUAUUUGCUUCCCAUACUGACAAAUUUCACAAGCAAGCAAAUUUUUCUCAAGGCUUGGGAGACCUUCUGCGAGUUAAUUUUCUUUCAUGAAGAGUAUUGCAUUAUGAUGAUAAUGUCCGAGUCUUUUGUGCGAAAGCUCUGAAUUAUUUUCCAACCGGACAACUGUUAUUUGUUCCUCAUCCAAUAUAUUCAAGGAAAAACUCCUUUCUCGCAUCUUAACCUUUAACAUCUCUAUACUAUCAGAAUCCUUUAUGACACAUGCUUUUUCUUCAAAAAACACUUUGAAACCGCUUUCAAGUAGCUGUCCAACACUUAAAUGAUUUUGAUCAAGAUCAGGAACAAAGAAAACAUCAGUUAAAAGUUUCAAACCUGUAGGACUUUUAAUUGCAACUUUUCCUUUGCCUUUUGCAUCAACAUAUUCUCUAUUUCCAAUUUUUACUUUGGAAAUAAUAGAUAUCUCUAGAUCUUUAAAGAGCUCGUGAUCACUGGUCAUAUGAUUUGUACAUCCACUAUCAAUCAACCAAUUUUCAGAAGUGCUUUUGCUAGCAAAACAAGUUGCUACAAAUAAUUUCUCUUCUUCAUAUUGAUUUACAACAACCUUGGAUUCUUCUUGUUGUGUUUAUGACUUGUAUAUCCUCUCCACAUGGCCCAAUUAACCACAUUUGUUGCACUUGACAUCCAGUCUCCACCUACAUUUCUGCUAAGAGUGAUUUAUCUUUUUGCAAUGAAGGCAGGGUGGAGUACUUCCUCCCUGAUUGUUGUAAUUAUUGCCUUGCAUUUGCUUUUGGUUCUUUUUAGUUCCCUUGUAUGACUCGUUCUGUGAUUUAUCUUGAAAAACACUUUCAACAGAACCUUCUUUCCUCAUUAUUCACCUUUGCUCUGAUGCCUGUAAAGCAUUAACAAGUUCUUCCAAGGUAAUGCUUGACAGAUCCUUAGAAUUCUCUAAAGAAGAGAUUGUGGCUUCAUAUUUCUCAGGAACUGUGACAAGAAUUUUUUGAAUAAUUCUUACAUCAGUAAAAUUCUUACCAAACAAUCCCACCUUGUUGGCAAAGUCAAGUAGUUGAUCUGUAUAAUCUUUUACGGUUUCUGAUUCUUUAAUUCUCUUCAUUUCGAAUUCCCGAAUUAGAUUUAUCACUUGCAUAUUUUGAAAUCUUUCAUUUCCUUGGUAUUCCUUUUCAAGAUACUCCCAAAUUUCUGUAGUGGACUUCAUUUGCAAAAUUCUGGUAAGAAUUAAAGGAGAUAUCACAGUGAAAAGGCAUGUUUUGGCAUUGGCCUUCCUUGUUUUUCUCUCUUUGUGAUGUCUAAUCUGAUUCAUUGUUGAAUUAUAUCCUAGAAGAGUUACUUCAUAGUCCUCUUCUACUGCUUCCCAUAGAUCCAGUGCUUCAAGAUGAACCGUCAUUCUAAUUUCCCAAGCUUGAUAAUUCUCACCAUUGAAGACAGGUGGAGUUAGAAAGCUUGUUUCAGGAUUCAUUUUCUAUAAACUAUUUAAGAUAAAAGUUUAAAGAAUGGUUAUAUAGAAAGAACUUGUGUUUUUAUUUAUUUACUCUCUUCUCACAUGUCCCUCAAGAUAGCAAUGCUUUGAUACUAAUUUGUUGGAAAUAAAGAACAGAACUUAAUUUGUAUAAAGAAAAAAACAGAACUUAAACCAAGAAUAGAAAGAGCAAAAAAUUUGUGUUAUUUUUCAUUGCUUAUUGAAAUGAUCACUGUCAUAUUUAUACAUAAAACCAUAACUGAAAAAUCUUAAUUAAAGAAGUAAAAUAAUCUAUCAUAUCUCUAACAUUAUUGCCUAAAGAUCAGCAACUGUUAUAAAAUCAAAAUCUGCAUGAUUGCAACCUUAUUUACCUAAACUUAAUCCAAUCUUUAAAGUUGUACGCUAAAUUUCAGCAGCUAGUACAGCUAAUCUGCAGCUCUUAAGGCACUAAUCUUCACAAGCCCAUAUCAAUAGUUAAAAGGAUGAAAGAGGAUAAACAAAGAAAGAUGUUACUUUUCUUUUCUUACCCAAAGUAUCUGGGGAAAACAUAUUUCUGUGUUUAAUUGAGGAAUAGGAGUAUGAGAUUUUCUUCUAUUCUAGUUUAUAUUGAACAAAUUGAAUUGGUGAACAUGAGUUUGAAUAAUACAUAGCGAUGGUCUUACAUACCACAAGCAAUUGAAGAAAUUUAGAUCGUGAAGACGGAAUCAAACUUGAUUUAUUGAACCCAUUCUCUUGGGCCUCUUAGGAGUUCUGUUUGAGAGGAGGAAUAAGGAUGUUUGUUGGUAGAAAUCGUAUAAAAAACUGAUGGGGAAAAGUGAGUUUUAUCCUGUGAAACUUGAAGAAAGUAGGGAGGUGUUUUUUUUAAUUGUAACAUGUAUCUGAUGAAUAGUAAGUCUAGGAGUCUUAACGUACAAAAUUAAUGAAGCAGUAGGUUUUAAUCACUUGGGAUUAAGGUAGAAAGGAAAAUACGAAAUCACCUCCACCAAGAAUAUUAAAAUAAAAGGAAAAAAAUAGAAAAUUUUCGUCUGUUAUAGGGAUGUUCUGACUGUUCUUAGUAAAACACACGUACCUUUUUACUUGGGAAUUGGAUUGAUGAGCUGUUGGUAGCGUUUGAAAGAAGACUCAAAAAGAUUUAAUUUGAGAGCUUAUAGGUCACGUAACUCUACAUAUUCUAGGAGAAAUCCUUGUUUAAAUUUGGUCCUUGUAUGAACCUAUACCAAAACUUAAUCAUUAAAGGACCUUACAACUCAAAUUUGUUUUAGAUCUUUCUUAUGCCCUUAAUUCAUUCCCAAUACCCCUACGUCACAUAAGACAUGACCUUUACAUCUAGAUACAAUAAAAUUUCUAGAUUCACGUACAUUUGAAGAGCAGUCCAAUUUGCUUUAUUUUUAGCCCGAAAGUUCAGGGUGUUACAGUUGUGCUCUAGAGAUUGGCUUUGAGAGAAAAAAGGUAAAUCAUUCUGUGACAUACUAUUGCAUUGUUUUAUUUUUGGUAAUGAUGUUCCAAUAAAAAGUACAUUUCUGUAAGUUAUUAUAAGAUUGCAGUGAAUGGGAUUUCCUGUGAGGAUGAAAUUGGAUGAAAGAGAAUAAAAUGGGAGUUCAACCGGUGCAACAUCAGUAGAGAUUUAGUAUAGAUGUAAUAACAAUUACUAAUUAUAGGGAAGGGGGAAGUGAUAGUAGAGAAGUGUUUAGCAACAUUUUUAUGGUUGACAGUCCAAAAGGAUGAAUUUUUGGGCCUUUUCAAUGAAAUGAAAAAGGAAAAAGUGUAUGGUUGAAAUCCAUAACCUUAAAAUAAGGAGAUCAUUUACUUGAAGGGGUACGAAUUCAGUUGAACCCUUGAAGCGCGUAGGCUCAAGAGUGCAUGGUUGCUUUGGGCACCAUUGUAAAUUGGGUCCGAUCAUCGCAUCAAAUAUCUUUUUUUCUUUUGCAUUUUUUGUCGUUUCUUUGUUUCCUUUUACUUUCUUUUAUUUUUUGGGUUCCCCGUUUCUUUUUACGACUUUUUAUUCUUUGAUGUUUGCCAUUCUUUUCCUUGUUUGCUUUUGUUUUUUUUCCCUUUUGACUCAUUCUUGAAUUUUGAUGUCCAUGGGAAAUAAAAACACCCAUUUUAUCCAUACUGUUCUCUCUAUCUGAAGUUUUCACAAAAUAUUUAUGAAAAAGGUUGCGUCUUCUCCCUAAUAUUUUUUGUUUCUUUCCUUUUUCUUCAACGUGGUUAAUUCUAAAGAAAAUUUUCCUCAAAUAAUGGUGUUGCUCAUUUUAAAAAACUCACAAAGUACAAUUUUUCUGCGUCUGGUUGGUCUACUUACAUGACAUAGCUGCAAUGGUGUCUUUGUUAGUGCCAAACAAGUUUUGAGUAUUUUGGUUGAUGUUUUUCACUUGAAAAAUCGACUCCUGUUACAAAAUUAAACGAAAUGAUAGUACAAUGCACCAAUCUUCCUGUAAUUCUGAAUACACCAAUAAUCACAAAAACAAGUUUGGAAUAUUUUGUAGAUAUUUUACUUAAAAGAUUGACUCAUGUUGAUUUGCUUUUAACAAUUUAAAGUAACUUUGAUGUGAUAGCAACUUUAUUCUGUUUUGUGAAACACAAGCCAUGUGGUGGCAACUCUCAAGGAAAGAUUGGACAGAUACUCUUUUCUUCUCUUUUUGCUACUCCUUUUGAUAUGCUUUCACAUUAAUCAUUUGCUACUUAUUGGCUCUAUAUAUAUUGGAGUAACUUCGAUCAUUUGAAAUACCACACAUACAAAUUAAACAAGUGUCCAAAUUUCCUCGAAACAUUCCAUAUCAAGUGCAUAGUAACUACAUAUAUGGAGAAGCACAUUUUCUUACUGGUUCUUAUCUUUGUAAUUCAAUAUUUCUCUGUUUUUCUAUCACUUGCUUCAUCAAAUGAAACAAACCAAGAAACUCUAAUAGGUUUUCGAGAUCUUAUUACAAGUCCUAGUCAUUUUUUGGCCAAUAAAUAGACCAAAAAUGCUUCUUAUUGCUCUUGGUUUUUGUGUCACUUGCAGUACAAGGCAAAGAGUUGUAGCCUUGGCUCUUCCUAAUUUGCAACUUCAAGGCACAAAUUUUGUCUUUUUGGCCAAUUUGUCAUUUCUUAAAGAGGAGGAGAGAAUAAUGAUGUAACAAAAGCUCUUUGGUGGCUUAAAUCUUGUGUUUUGGAUGGUUUUUAGGUGAGGUAAAUGACCCUAUUGCCCUCAAAUACGCAUAAACAGAAAUUGGAAAAUGAGGGAGCGUGCGUCGCAUUUUUUGGAGCACCGAAAUGAAACGUACGCCGUAUAAUCGAUUGUGGGCUCCCUUUGGGUGGACUGGAGCGUGCGUCGCAUGCUAAUCGCGCAACCUCACUUCCUCCCUCACGAAAAUGACUAUUACUUUUCACCUGGGUAUCAGAUUAAGGCAAAAUUGGUAUCGUUGGAAAGCUGACUCAAAUAUCUACAAUUUGGGGGGUAUUUAGAUGCUAAUUUCUACAUAUAUCAAAAGUAAUACACAUUUAAAAUAGACCCUUGUAGAAUCGAAUACAAAGAUUUAGCUGAAUCAAAGGUUCUUAGCUCAACUUCACUCUAAGUGAUUCUUAUAUAGAUUUUUCACCUCCAAAGCACUUAAAACAUGAGGAUAUAGAUCAUAACACUUAUUCGAACUUCGAGAUAAUUUCUAUUAGAGCUUACACAUGUAGGAAAAAUAGUUAGAUCUCUAGUUCGCAAAUGUAGGUUGUUACAAGUGUGUUAUAAUUUCAAAAAUCAGAUAAAAUAGAGUGUUAAAGCCAAGUCCUCUGAAUUCACGAAGUGUCCUUAAGAAAAUAAUCCCCUCAAGUACCCGAGGUUAUGGAUUUUUUCUCCCAGGAUAAAAUGGCUUUCAAUCUAGCAAUUGUGGUACCUCAAAUUAUUGGAUACGUCGAACUUACUUAACAAUUAGAUGAUCAGACGGAGUAUUUCAGGAAACAAGAAGUGCUUUAGUGCAGAAAAAUUUUCGUACCUAAACCUGUGGAUAAAUGCAGGUUUAUAUAGCCAUUAGGUGCCUCUUCCAAAAAGACGCAAUGAAUCAAUGUGUCUUCUUACUGGACAGUCACAACCAUCCAAAAAGACACCUCUUUUCCCGAAUUAGUGUGUAGUUCUUUCUGGACUUCAUGUAUAUACGUUAAUUGAGGUUCAAUACUACAAACAAAACUGGUUGCAUUUUUCCAUUAUUUUUUCGGACUGUUUAAAUAAAUUUUAUCCAAAAAGAUAGAUUUCACCGAUCAUUUUCCAAAGCCAAAGCCAAAGCCUGUCACCUUUUGGUUCAUGCCUCACUUACCACAUGAAGUCAGUGUUUCAUAAUAUAAACACUUGCAAAAUUUUCUUCUCCCUCCAAUGUGGAAAAAUUAGUAGACUUUCCACUUUUGAGUACACCUUUUCAUUUUUGAGUGUUAUCUCAAUUAUUUUCCUCCAUUUUCCAUUCACACUGAGAUCUUAAACCAAACACUUCCAACAUAUGCCAACUCAUAAAGCUCAAAGUUUUUUCCAUAUCUUAUAACAAGAUAACUGGAGAUAUACCCAAAAAUUUUUGUUGUUUGUCCAAACUCAAGGAUUUUUAUACUGGCGAAAAUCCGAUAACAGGGUCUAUUCCUACUUCAUUAGGAUACAUUUCCACUCUGAAAUAUCAUAAUUGUGGAUACAAUCGCUUGGUGGGGCAAAUUCCUCCGAAUUAGGAAGCUAUCAAAUUUAAGAUAACAAGGCUUAAUAAUAAUCUUACUGGUCAAGUUCCAAAGGCUAUUUUCAUAUAUCUUCUUUGGAAAUAAUAGAAUUUAGUUUCAAUUAUCCCUCGGGUAGAAUUCCAGCUACUAUAGGUCUUCAUCUUCCAAACCUUGAAGGACUUUACUUCCAAUACAAUCAGCUCGAUGGGGAAAUUCCAUUGCUCAUAACAAAUGCUUCCAAGCUUGACAUGGUAGCGUGAGAAAAUAAAAUUCUCACAGGAACUAUUCCUACUAAUUUGGGAAAUCUUAGUGAGUUGUGGUAUCUGCUCCUACAUCAUAAUCGACUUACCAAUGAACCAAGAGAGCAUUAGUUGUGAUUCUUCUAUUGAUUGGCGGACUGUAGGAUGAUGCAAUCUCUACAAGUGGGUGGCAAUCCGAUGAUUGCAUUCUUCCUAAUUCUAUUAGGAAUCUUUCAUCUACUAUUGAAGACUUCCAUAUAGGAUAUGCAUACAUCUAUGGCCUAAUCCCCCAGGUUUAAGAAAUAUGAGCGGUCUUUUAUGUCUAGUCUUUAAACAUAACAACUUGAUGGGAAAUAUUCCUCCUGAGAUUGGUAAGAUUAAACAACUCCAAGGGCUCUAUCUACAAAACAAUAAAUUGAAGGGACAUAUUCCAGAGGUAGUAUUCCAUUUGUCUAAUUUGGUUCAUUUAACUAUGCGAGGUAAUGAGCUCUCAGGAUUAAUUUAACAAUGUUUAUGAAAUCUUAUCAUGCUACAAAAUCUUUAUCUUGGUUCAAAUAAUUUUUUAUCAAAGUUCUACUUGAGCCUUUGCAAGAUGAAUGGUCUUAUCUAUCUAAAUCUGUCUCCAAAUUCUAUAGAGGGAGAAAUUCCACAGGAUAUUGGAGAACUAAAUGCUAUUGUAGGCCUGGAUCUUUCUGGUAACCACUUCUCUGGCAUAUUACUGAGCAAAUUGGGGGAUCUCCAAAACCUGAAGUCUCAUGACUUGUCAAACAAUUUACUUUCAGGCCCAAUUCCAUUAUCCUUUGCCAACUUAAUAAUCUUGGAAAUCCUGGAUUAGUCUAUAAAUACCUUGUCAGGUACUAUUCCUAGGUCAUUAGAAAUACUUUUGUACCAUAAAGCCAUCAAUGUUUUAUUUAAUAAUUUAGAAGGUGAAAUACCCAAUGGCAGUGUGUUUGCAAAUUUUACUCAGCAAUCAUUUCUUGGGAACAGAGGACUAUGUGGAGUGCAUUUAUUGGAGGUUCCUUCUAGCACUAAUCCUGAACAACAAUCAAAGUCUAAGGGGAUUGUGGUAAAGAUUGUUACUCUACUGGUUAUUUCAUCCUUCAUGAUCCUCUUGUUGGUCUCAAAAUAGAUAACGAAAAAACAGAAUAAAGGAAAAUCCAAAGAUGUGGAAAAGGUACCAGAGACCAGGACUCAUCAAUUAGUUUUCUAUCACGAGAUUCAACGAGAAACAAAUUAUUUUGAUGAGACAAAUUUAAUUGGUGUCGGAAGUUUUGGCUCUGUGUACAAAGGCAUAUUAUCUGGUGGAAGCGUAGUGGCCAUAAAGGUUCUGGAUUUGAAAAGUGAGGAAGUAUACAAAAGGUUUGAUACUGAAUGUGAAGUAAUGAGAAAUGUUAGGCACAGAAAUCUUGUUUCGGUGAUCACUACUUGUUCUAGUGACUGCAUAAGAGCCUUUGUUCUGCAACAUAUGUCCAACGAGAGACUUGAGAAUCGGUUGUACAUGGAAGAUUUCCACUUAAACCUUCUUCGAGAGCCAUUGUAAUGCUUGAUGCAGCUAUGGGAAUUGAAUAUCUAGAUCAUGGUCAUAUCACUCCAAUAGUUCAUUGUGACCUAAAGGAAGCCAACAUUCUUUUGGAUAAAGAUAUGGUAGAUCAUGUUGGUGAUUUUGGCAUCUCCAAAAUUUUAGCUUUAAGCAAGUCCAUGGCAUAUACCAAGAUAUUCGGCACUCUUGGUUACAUUGCACCAGAUGAAUAAUAUCCCCUCCCUUUUGUUUUCUCUUAUCAUAAUUAGGCGUCUGUGAAUUCUACAAGUAAAAAAGGAAGUCUCAAUUUGUACAUGAUUGGUGUUAUAUUUCAAUAAAGUAACUUUCUUUCCUUUCAUUCUUUUCAAAGAAUAUUUCUCGGAGGGAAUAGUGUCCACUAAUGGCGAUGUGUAUAGUUACGACAUCAUGUUGAUGGAGGUUUUGACAAAAUAAAGAAUAACCGAUGAAGAGAUAUGCAAUGAAACUCUUGACUUGAGGAAAUGGGUAACAUAAUAAUUCUCGGGGAUAAUGAUGGACGUUGUGAAUGUCAAUCUUUUUUCUGAGGAGCAAAUCACGUCCAAAAGUGAAAUCUGCGUAGCCAGCAUGGUCGAAAUGGCUUUAGACUGCACCCAGGAAUCGCCAGAAUCAAGAACAACCAUGAAAGAUGUAGUCAAGAGGAUUAACAAAAUCAAGAACAAAUUUAUGGAAACAUAGAAUUUAGCAUCUCUUCUGAUGGUGUUCUUUCUGAGCUGCUAAUUAAUAUUGCUUUUUGUUUUCUUGGUUUCUUUAGUUAAGUUGUCGGAUACUACUAUCUGGAGUCAUGUACUUUUUGUACUUCAGACUGUUGCAUUUUUCUUAUUUUGUGAUUUCAGAUUCGAGUAGUUUCGUACCUGAUUCAUUUCAUUAUUUGUAGCUAUGUUUUCAAUUUUACUUUCUGUUUGCAAGCUUAAGUUGCUCCAUAUAUCCUGCAAUUUUAGUAUCCAAUUAAGUUGGUAACACAAAUUAUUAUUUAGUAUUCAAUACAGGCAGUGUGAAUAGAAUUAGAGACAGAGUCAAUAGAAUUAGAGGUAAGAGGAGUCUCUAUUUGCUUUGAAUAGGAAGGUGAGCUUAAUCGAGUGUAUAAAACCUUGCUCGAGAUCACUCUCCAUUUCUCAUUUCUCUGCCUUAGUUAGGGGAUCAUGAAAUUUUUCUAUAGGAUCUAGAACAGAAAUUUUACUUAAGGAAGCAAUUGUGUAACUGAUCUUCGAAGUUCUGUAAUACUUGUUCAUCCAAAUAGAAGCCAUCAACUUCUGUGGCUGAAAUGUUUCAACAUGAUUCAAGGUAUUAAAUUUCUUGAGGGCUUCUUCACCUUCACCGUGAUUUUGUGUUAAGGGCCAUAUUAGGGAACUGAAGUUUUGAUGAUUUCUCCUACUUUUAAAAUAUUACUUAAAUUUCAAUAUUUAUAACUUUUUGGUAAAGUUGAGAUAUAAGUUCACACCUCCUUUUCUGAAGUCGUAAUUUUACCAAAAAUUAACCCAUUUUCUCUUUUUUGUACGCCUUAAUUCAAGCAGCAAUUUCUAUUCGAUUUCUCUCUCUAAUUCAAACCCUUGAAUUAAGGAGAAUUUCUCCCCUAAAAUCAACUUCAAUUUCUUCUAUUCUGAUUUUACGCUCUUUUUUUCAAAAAAAAUUAUUAUGCGAUUUGUUUCACAAAGUGAUUUUUCAAUUUUUUGUUGUGCAAUUUCUUUGAUUAUCGUUUUUUGUGCAAUUUCUUUUAUUAAAGACGGCUAAGUGUUGUUUUCUGCUUUGUGUUCCUAUUUUUGUUGGUUAAUGACUCGAAUUUUUUUUUUCAUCUUUACUAGUUCAUGACAUGGCAGUGUUACUGCAAUUUGCUCUUCUGUUUUUGAUAUGAUUUUCAUGUUAUUUUCUCAUUUAUGUUGAUUUCUUGAGGUAGGCGUCUAUUACAGACUAACCACCCUUUUUAACUAGCUCUAACAUCUAUGUGGCCUCAAUUUCUAAACACUAAAACAUGAUAUUCUUUUGUCUUUAAUUUAACGUUCUGAUUAUUAUGCAUCUGGCGUUAUUGUGAACAUGAUUUCAAUUUGUUGGAGGUUAUUUGUUUUAUUUCAUUUGAUUUGGAAUUUUGAUUUGAUGAGAGAUAAAAAUGACCUUCUGGACACCUGUACUAUGUCAGUUUUGUAAGUUGGACACUUCUACUUACAUGAUUGUUAUCUGGACCCUUGAACCCAUCAAAAAGCAAUAUUUUGCACCCUUUGACCGUUGACCUUGCCUAUGUGGCAAGGUCAUGGUGAUUAGGACAAAGAGAGUGUAGCCACUCGCCUGGGGUGCGAGUGAGGGUCAAUUUUUGGCCAAUUUUACAUUAAAAUAAUUUUAAAAAUAUUUAAACAUUUUAAAAAAAUUUAAAAGGGUCCUUUUUUUUCUCCAUCUUUUUAAAUUUAAAAAUUAAAAAAUAAUUUUAAAAUAAUUUUAAAAUAUUUUUGAAAAUUUUAAANNNNNNNNNNNNNNNNNNNNNNNNNNNNNNNNNNNNNNNNNNNNNNNNNNNNNNNNNNNNNNNNNNNNNNNNNNNNNNNNNNNNNNNNNNNNNNNNNNNNNNNNNNNNNNNNNNNNNNNNNNNNNNNNNNNNNNNNNNNNNNNNNNNNNNNNNNNNNNNNNNNNNNNNNNNNNNNNNNNNNNNNNNNNNNNNNNNNNNNNNNNNNNNNNNNNNNNNNNNNNNNNNNNNNNNNNNNNNNNNNNNNNNNNNNNNNNNNNNNNNNNNNNNNNNNNNNNNNNNNNNNNNNNNNNNNNNNNNNNNNNNNNNNNNNNNNNNNNNNNNNNNNNNNNNNNNNNNNNNNNNNNNNNNNNNNNNNNNNNNNNNNNNNNNNNNNNNNNNNNNNNNNNNNNNNNNNNNNNNNNNNNNNNNNNNNNNNNNNNNNNNNNNNNNNNNNNNNNNNNNNNNNNNNNNNNNNNNNNNNNNNNNNNNNNNNNNNNNNNNNNNNNNNNNNNNNNNNNNNUAAAUUAGUUGGAGAAGAAUUUUAAUUAUUUGGAAUGGAUUUGAUUUUUAAUUUGUGAGAAAAAAAAUAAAAACAUGAUUAUUCAAUUUUAUCUACAAUUUAUAAUUUUAUCUUAUUUAAUUAAAUUAAUUUUAAUAUUUAAUUUGUUAUGUAGCAUUUAAAAAAUGAUUUGGAAUUUAAUGUAAUAUUUAAAAAAAAAUAACGUGGCAGAUGACGUGGCAGGUGUGGCAGACGUGGCAGCUGGCGUGGGGGAGAGUGUGUUACACUCACCAAAAAAGGGUUUAAAAUGUUAUUUUUUAGUGGGUUCAGGGGUCCAGAUGACAAACAUGUAAGUAGAAGUAUCCAACUUACAAAACCGACAUAGUACAGGGGUCCAGAAGGUUAUUUUGCCUUGAUGAGAAACAAUGAACUUUCAGCCUUUUAAGAAGGUCUGUUCUUUCAAAGUUAUUUGCAUGUUCAGAUCUGUUGAAUAUUAGGCCGAGAUACAUAUUUAGACAUGUAUGAUACAUUUUCAAAUUUCUUGUAUAUCUGGUUCUUUGUUUAUGAUUUUAUAUGUAUCUUGUGUUUAUUAAGUAUCAUUGAAAUUAACAUAACAAAAGAUACAUGUUUACAAGCUUAUAGAUACAUAUUGUUUUAUCUUGUAUCAGUGGUCUACUGUUAAUGAAUUUAAACGUUUCUUGUGUUGUUUAACUUUUAUUGAAAUAAGCGUUACUCUAGAUACAUGUUAUUUCAUCCAAGAUACAUAUUGUACUAUCUUGUAUAUAAGGUUACUCGAGUAUGCAUUAAAGUGUAUCUAGUGUUUUUUAAGUACUAUUGAAAUAAGCAAACAAAAGAUACAUGUUUUUAAGCUUAAAGAUACAUAUUGUAUAUCUUUUAUAGAUUGUUAUCUGCUUAUGCAUUUAUAUGUAUCUUAAUCACAUCAAUUUCCUUAUUUGGAAAAAGUGUUCUGUUUCUGCUUCAAUGCUUUGAUGUUCUGAAUGUGAGUUUACUAUUUGAGUAUUAUUGAAAUAAGCAAACAAAAGAUAAAUGUUUUUAAGCUUAAAGAUACAUAUUAUAUUAUCUUGUAUAAAUUGUUAUUUACUUAUGCAUUUAUAUGUAUCUUAAUCACAUCGAUUUCCUUCAUUGGAAAAAGUGUUCUGUUUCUGCUUCAAUACUUUGAUGUUCUGAAUGUGAGUUUACUAGUGUAGUCAUUCUUAUUUGAUUCAUAUUUCGGGUUUUGCAAAAUAAGCUUCAGUUUAGUCCUUGACAUAAUACCUAUUGUUGAUUUUGUGACCAAGCUUACCGCUUGAUGUGAACUUUGUGGUGAAUGUGCUUCUUUCACCUUGAGGAAGAUAAAGGAGACGAGGAUGGAGUUGAUUGCACGAGCAGAAGUAUAUAUGCCCGUGUUCCACAAGCACUAUGUGAGUGGGCAAGUAGUUAAAGAGGCUGCUAGAUGUGUUUUGGGGUCUCAAAAGGUUGAAUGCAGCUCUAUUUUGUAAUAUCUCAAGCAUCACUUGUCUUUGCAAUAUAAUAGGGGUAUUGGUGCAACUUUUCCUGUAUAAACUUUUGCACUUUCAAUAGCUAGGUAGUAAAUAGAACAUUUUCUUAGAAAUGUUAAGCAACUAUUGCAGCUCCAAGUCUCUCAUUUUUCAAAGUUUUUGAGGACAGAGUUGCUCUAUAUAUGUGUUAGUGAGAGGUUGUUAAGUGUUCGAUGAAAUAUUUGAGGUGCGAGUAAGUUAUGUCGGACACCAUAGCUAAAAAUAAACUAUUGUACUUCCAAGUCAUAUUUUGGGGAGUGUUCUCUCAAAGUGAUGAAAGUGAAAUGGCUAUCUAUGAUUAUCGUAUUUAUAGUACUUUUAAUUUCCUUUGCCUUCAAGGUUUUAACUCCAAAUAUGGUUGAUACACGUGCUUUACUAUGUUUUGUUUAAAAUUUUAAGUAAUGAAUACACAAUUUUGAAUCACAAGGAUUAAAAUUCUUGUCCCAAACACAUAUAUAUCCCAAGUGUUAAAACAUAAAAGAUCUCAGGCUAUUGGACAAAAUUGCAGAUAAACAAAUAUAGUUGUACUACACACAAAAGCUCUUACAAAUUGUUUCUAUCAAAGUACCGGCUACACUGAUUUGCAUCAUCUUAAAUUCACCCUUGUGUUACAAAGUAAUAACAAAAGAGACAGAUUACACAGAAGUAACAUAAAUAGAAAAAACACAAAAACAAGAUUGUUUUCUUCUACAUUGUCUUGCAUAUUGAUUAUAUAUUCAGAGCUCUAUGAAAAACUGAAUUUAGAUUUUUGAUAUUGAUGAUCACAUGUUUUCCAGGAUUUUUGUUUACAAGAACCGAGCUACGUGACAUUAGAACUCUUGCUAAAGCUUGAUAGCACGUUUCUUCUCUAUAUUCCUGCAAAAAAAAUGAAUCUUAAAUCAACUUUUACAACCAUAAACUGCACAAUUGUGUACAAUAUGUAUCUUUAACAAUACUCAUAUGUAUCUUUCGUAUGUCUACAUAGCUAAAAAUAAAACAUCACAAGAUACAUAAUUACACUCAAAUAAGAUGUUACAAAAAUAAGAUGUUUCUUAACGUACUGAAAAACAAAAUGAUAGAUACAUAAAAUGCACAAUCGUGUACAAUAUGUAUCUUUAACAAUAUUCACAUGUAUCUUUUGUAUGUUUAUAUAGUUAAAACUAAAAAAUCGCAAGAUACAUAAUUAUACUCAAAUAAGAUGUUACAAAAAUAAGAUGUUUCUUAACGUACUGGAAAACAAAAUGAUAGAUACAUAAACUGCACAAUUGUGUACAAAAUAUAUUUUUAACAAUACUCAUAUGAAUCUUUCGUAUAUUUAUAUAGCUAAAACUAAAACACCACAAGAUACAUAAUUAUACUCAAAUUUAGCACCAUAUAUACAAGAACACGAAAAAUGUAUCAUGAACACAAAAAAGUUAUGUAUCUCGGCCACAUUAACAUAACUAAAAAUAGUUACGUCAAAAAACUUAUCAAUUUAAAGUUAGAUACAUAAUUCUUAAACUAGAUACAAUUAACAAAAACUAAUACUUUAAACACGAUACAUGCCUUUUCUUGUACGAUCUUUUCAUAUAGAAGUUGAAGGAAUGCUCAAUUGCAUUAUGACUCAACAAAGGUGUCGCAUUACCAUCAACUCUGUAACAAUUGCAUCACUUUUAUAACCCUCAUAAUUCGUAUUGUUAAUCCAAACUCCGGAAUGACGUAACAACACAAAAUAUUCAUUGCAAGUAUGUCGAAGAAAAUCAACAAACGUGAAAAAAAGUUAGAGUCUUUUUGGAAAGUGAUAAUGGAAGAUAUUUCGUUUAAGAAUAUGGAAUAAGAAACCAAUAACCUUUUUCUGUGGGAUUUUAUUGAGUAUUUACUAUUAUUAGUUAUCUUAAUUGUUACAUUUAAGGAAAUUUAACUGUUACAAGCCUUAAUUUAAGCAAAUUAGUUUACUAACUAUAUGUAUCUCUAGGAUGUAUCUAACGUAAAUUAAAUGUAUCUCCAACGGCUAAAUAUUGGGAUUUUAUGAAAUUGAAAAAAAUGUUGAGAUUUUAGGUAAAUAUUGACAAACAUGUCGGGAUAUAGGUAAAUUAUACUAAUAAUAAACUUGGCCCAAAAAAUGUGUAAAGGUAGAAAGUUUGAUUUUUCCUCAACUAAUUAACGAUGCUUAUUUUGUUUAACUAAUUUUCACAUAAACGUGUGUAUAUGUAUCUAUCUAAUUAUAUACACACACACACACAUAUAAAAAAAAUUCAAACAUGUAAAUAUGUUAUAAUUAAAAUACAUUUAGCUAUAGUUCGGAAGUAAAUAAAUAAAAAUAAAAUAGAUUAAUUUGCAAAAAAAAAAUAUAAUAAUAUAGCAAGGAUUAUGUUAACACGCCAACAUAUAUUUAAUUAUUCAUUUUUAAAAAUUUAGAAUAUUUUUUUUUCAAGCAAGCUUAUAAGGUGUGACAUAGGUAUUUUAACAGUAAAGACAAGAAAAUAUCAUUUCCAAACUGUUAAUGUUAAAACUAUGGGAAAUAUAUAGGAAAAUAUUCAACAAUCUUAAGCAUCGCGAAAUUAAUUUUAUAAAAGAGGAGAGUCAAAAUUGGGUAUCAACAAGCAGAACAAGGGAGAACAUACAUAUACAAGAUCAUCAAAUACAAGUAAAACAUGAUAAGACAACUACAUAAAUGGCCAGUCAAUAUGACAAUACAACAUAAUAUAAACACAAUAAAGUAAGUGUAAUGUAUAGGAUGAUGAUGAUGAUGAUGCACCAGGUCAUCGCACAACCUUCGGGAUCUAGCACAAUCCCCGUACACACCUAUGAAGCUAAAGCUUCCCGAUGUAGGACCCAUGGGUGGUUCGUCAACCCGUAUACAAUUCAUAUAUCUCAUAUCUCAUUUUCGGCAUAUUCCUCGGAAAAAGGCUUUAUAAGGGGUUACAAUAUCUCUUCCCCGACACAUCCCUCGGGGAGGGUUUAAAAAGGUGUUGUCUGUGUUUCUCAGAUGUUGCCACGGUGGUACCAAUAUUUCAUGAAUAAGUAUGAUAUGAGGAUGUAAUGCUCACAACCAAUCACAAUGAGUAUUUUCACAAGCAACCAUAAUGAUAUAUUUCCAUAACCACUUGAGCCAAUAUCCACUCAUUAUUUCAGUUUCAUCCACGAAUUUCCACAUGUCUCAUAUGCCAAUAAAGUAUGAAUAUAAUCAAAAUACACCAAUGGUACCAUAAUAAGAAUCUUAACAACACAAUACAAUUAUUCACAUGUAUUUAGGGCUAUCAAUAUCCCAUAGGACCCCAAACGGUUACACAUAUCACAUAAUAACUCAAUUUCGGAAAUUAGGCCCCCACACGGGCACAACACAUAAAUAGCCAUUUUUCAUGAUUAGUUCUCAUCCUUAACAUGCAUUUUGUAUUAUUGUUUACUACUCAAUCCAGUCUGAAAGAGUUAAGCCAUAACCUACCUAAAAAGUCGAAACCGAUCAACAACACUUUGAACCACGACCUUACUUUUCAAGAACAAUCUCAAACUCCACUAAGAAUGUCAAAUAUGAAAUCUAUGCAUCAAAACAAAACCAACGACACUCAUAUUGACUACUUUUGGUUCGGGGUCAAAAGGACCUCCGGAACGAGUUUUCAGAAAAAAAAGGGUUCGGAACUUUACUUCAAAAACAUGUUCCCCAUAUUUUUAAAAAUAUACAGUUGAAAAUCCAAGUCAAAUCGAGUAAAAAAACGAGGUUCAAAUUGAAGAAAAAUCAUUUGUAAACUUUACCGGGUAAAAAUAUUUGAGAUACGGGUUAAAAUCAAGAAUCAGAAUUGUUUUAAGGGUUAAAUUGAUGAAAACUAGUAAUUAUAAAAGAUAAAAGUAUUAUUCAAGUGAAAAGAAUUAAAACUGAGGUUUAAAAUCAAACAUUAAGCUUUUUGGGAUUUUGAGAAAUUAAUUAAGAAAUUACUAAGAAAAGAGUGAUUUCUUACCUUCAAUCCGUGAUAGAAUCAAGAAAUAUAUGUUAAUCUAGUUUCCCAAGCUCUCACAAGUUUCACUUUUAAGCUCUCACACUAUUUUAGGGUUUAACUCUCAAGAGGAAGUUGAAAGAAUGGGCAAAAAUCGGAUAAAAAAGGCUAUUUAUACUGUAUCCGGGUUAACAAACAUCUAACACAUAAAAUUCAUUCCUCAAUCUUGAUUUACCCAUUAUGUAUCUGGUUGCACCAUUAACCUGGUGCACCAGACGUUUUUAAUUCGAAGCGGAUUUCGAUCGGAGUUUUAUAUACGCAAAUGAAUUAUAUAACCACCAUAAAUUUGACGUUUCGAAUUCAGUGGGGAUAUCGAAAUUUCAAAAAAAAUAAAUCAUUUUCACAAAGUCGGUCCUCGAAAUCCAAAAUCAUAAUUUUCCAAAAUGAGGGGUCAAAAUGAGAUUUAAAAGCCGUAAAAUUACACCAAAUCUGUCACUACCCUAAAUCGACGUUCUGGAUCUGCUGGUAAAGUCGAAUUUUCCAUCCGAGGUUAUUUCGACUAAAUGUGGGUCCCACACCCAUAUUUUAAAAUUUUCAACUUUUCGACUAAUAGGUCGAAAUAACCUUGGGUGCACCAGGACCCAAACCAAAGGUCUACCAGCCUAAAAUUGAUAUUCUGGAGCUGAUGGCGCAGUCCGUUUAGCCAUCCAUCCCACGAAUCAAAAGAUAUCCCUAUAAAUCUAAAAUAAGGCUCUUGAAGCCAUCAAAAACCACAAUAUCGCAUAAAUGGUACCAAAAUGCAUCGGAAACCAUGUUAGUCGCUCCGACGCCCCAGAAAUGCCAUAAUGCAACUACAGUAUGGGGUAAAACAAUUAAAUCAUAUAAAAUCACAAAUUUCAUCAAAUUUUUAGGUCGUUACAGGUAUUCUAUUCGACAUUUUGAUAUGUUUUAUAAUUUUCGAACACUUUAUCAAGUAUCAAACUUUUUAAAAAUACACACCAAAUACCACAACACCAAAAUCAUCAUCUCAACAAUUUCAAUUUUGAUGUGAUAUUUAGUAGGACAAAAUUCAGAAAUAGCAUAUUUAUCCCCUUAAUUAUGAGUGGGAGAUAACCUAUUCAGUUGCAUGCAUAGAUUCUUAUUAGAAGCCUCGCACCAGUUAUCAUUGCGUAAUCAGUCAUACUUUCAUACGUUAGUUCAGUCAGAUAUGCAUGCAUUAGAAAUUGUAUUUUGUGUUUUUGUAAACUGUUGCUAUAAAAAUACAAAUACAACUAUUUUUACUGCCCUUAAUUAACUGAUUUAAAUAUAGUAAUAAUUUCAUAAAUUUAACUGUUAAAGAUUACCUUCCUAUUAAAAGCUCCUCAAUCACGCCUUUUCCGUUAUAUGCUAACAAACCUAUUCAAAUUCAAAAAAUAGUUUCCUUCCUUUCAUAACACGUGAUCCUUAAAAAAAAUCAAUUCAAAUUAAGUUGAAUCUUCAAUUUCGCUCUAAUUGAACAAUCAAAAUUCAAUUGUAUUUGUUGGUGUUCAAUAUCAGUUUGAACAAUCAGUUCGUUAAGUUCAGCAAUCAACAUUACCUUCUUCUCAAUACAACUUCGGAAUUCAAGUUGAUGUUGAAAAUUUUUGCUUAACUAUUGUUUCAGGUAUUAAUUCUUUUUGUGAGUAUAUUUUUUUUACAAAUUGGAUUUUGUUAUUUUGAUCGUUUUUUCAGUUGAUCAAAUUGUGAUGCUUUGUAGAAAUUUGUCACAUUAUUAUAUAAUAGAUUAUGAAUAUAUUGUAAGCAAAUGUAGAUUUUAAAGUUUAUUCUAUUAUUUUUUGAACUCGUAGAACAAGGAAUGAUCAAAUUCGGGUUUCCAAGCUGAUGAAAUUCUAAUUAUUUGUAGUUUUGCUUGUCGGAAUUUGAGUAUAACAACAUAUAUGAAAAGAUCUUUUAUAUAUGUUCAUUUGUGUUUGAAUCUGGAGGUUCUGUAUCUGGUUGUAUUUGACGCUGAACACAUACUUUGUCAUUGUAUGUAACUUGAAAUAAUUUAAUUUUGUUCUAAGUUUUAUAUAACAAAAGUUUUGUAAAUGUAUUUUUUAGUACUUUUGUUGGGUCAUAUGAAGUGAUAGAACAAAUGUUUUGGUUGUGUGCAAUUCUGGUGGUUUUGAAUUUAAUCGUACGUAACCUUUCAAUAGAAAUUUUUAAAAAAAUUUUAUGGCUAAAAACUUUUGUUGUAUUUGUAUUUUACUUUAAACAAAUAUUGUGUGAAUGUAUUUUUUGAUUGUAGAUGUUGGCUGUGUAACUUUGUUUGCGAUUAAAAUUGAAAAGUGUAUGUUGUAACAAUUGACAUCUGACAAAUAUAUAUAUAUUCGUUUAUUUUUGGUUUAAUCACUUAGAAAUGGGAAGCAUACUAGUUCUUGUGAAGCACUCUGGUAGGUGGACGUAUGAAAAAAACUAUGAAGAUUACGUCACUGAUGCUAUAUUGUUGAGCACAACAACAUCAUUCAUUGAGCUGCAGCAUCUCACUUAAAUGUGGACUUAAUCAGCAAAUAUAUUAUAGUGAAAUAUCAAAUCACUGGUGAUACAGGUCAAAUACAAAUACAUAAUGAUAUGGGUUUGAAGGUGUUUAUAGUGCAGAAAAAACAAGAAACAAGACAUGAAUUGUCUUCCUUUUAUGUAAGCAUAUUGGAGAAAGUUGUAGGGAGCAACUUUGCAAGUUCAUCUGUGUGUGUUGCUGAUAGAAGAGCCGACUGUAACAACGUGCAAAAAGUGAUAAAUACAUCUAAUGACGGAGCUUGGGUGGUUUUGAAGAUACACCAGUAUUAGAUGUAUUUGAGAUGGAUACUGUUGAGGUGAUUAUCUCAGACCCACAUCACAAGUAUAUUGAGGAAGACCAGGUUUACUUGACGAAAAAAAAUUAAAGUCAGUGAUGAAGGAUUAUACAAUAAGGGAGAAAUUUCAAACUCGAAGUAAAAGGUCAAGUAAGAAAACGUACGUACAUUCUAUAUCAUUUAUAUCAUGUUUAAAAUGAGUUUGGAUAUGUAUUUUGAAUGUAUUAAAUUAUGUUGGAUGCAGUGAUAUAUUGUUUUGCAAAUCAAGGAACAAUUUUUUAAUGUGUGCAUCAGGUAUGGGAGAUUCUGGAAUGUUUAGAAUAAGAGGACUCAUACCUCAAUAUACUUAUCCGGUGAAGGACAAGAAAUAUCCAAAGAUGCAUGCUACUAGUAUAUUGAUAGGUGGUAUGGUUAAACAGAAAUUCAAAAAUCACAAACGAAAAUACAAUGCGACCGAAAUAAAAAUGACAUGAAGGAAGAGUUUGGUAUGGAUUUGACAUACACUUUAUGUUGGAGGGCCAAGGAAAGAGCAUUAGAAGAGUUGAGGGGUAAGCCAUCAGCAUCUUACGGGAAACUACCAUCAUACUUAUAUGUUUUGAAUAAUAUCUAUCCCGAGUCACAUAUAAGAAUGAAGAAGACGGAUGAGAAUGAGUUCUUGUAUGUAUUUAUCGCUCUACAUGCAUUCAUUAAAGGAUUCAAUCAUUGUAGACCUGUCGUAGUUGUUGAUGAUAGUCAUUUGAGAGAAAUUUAUACCGGGGCAUUUGUAACAGCAUGUAUGAUAUAUAGAGCAGGUUAGUAUUAUUUUAUAAUUACAUUGUAUAACUGGUUGUAUUUUUACAUGUAUUUCUGCAUAUCACUUGAAAAUACAUAUCUCUAUUUGAUAUAUACAUAUUUGUAUAAAAUUACAUAUAUUUUCAAAGUUUCAUGAAUGAAACAUGUAAAAUUGAUAAUGUUCGAUUGUGAUGUGCAUCUACAUUUUAUUAUAUGUAAUUGAUACCAUUUCUUUGAUAAAAUAUACAGUUUUAUUGACCUGUAUUUUUAAUAAAUACAUAUAUAGUUACUAUAUUUAUUUAUAUUUGACUGCGCAAAAUAUUUUUAUAUAUACAGGUCAUAUAUUUUCUUUGGCAUAUGGUGUGCUUGAUUCUGAAAAUGAUGCAUCUUAGACUUGGUUCUUUGAGAAUCUAAAGGAAACAUACGGGGAAAGACAAAACAUGUGUGUUGUAUCUGAUCGGAAUCCAAGCAUGAUAAAGGUUGUUGGUGAUGUGUACAAAGAUGUUCCACAUUAUGCAUGUAUGUGACAUCUAUGGGGAAAUGUGAAAAACUUUACAAAAAGUCACGAUGCAUUAUCAGAGAUUUUUUAUACAAUGGCCAAAGCAUAUUUAAAGUCAGAAUUCUACAUGUUAAUGGAAAAGGUUGAGGCAAUUGAUAUAAGAGUGAAGAAAUAUUUGAAAUUGGCUGGUUACGAAAAGUGGGAUAGGUCCUAUGCAAUAGUUCACCGAGGAUGGACUUUGACUUGAAACAUUAUGGAGUCAAUAAAUGGACAGCUAGAGAACUGCAAAUUUAUGAUUUUCUUGAGGAAGUUCGAUUGUUGUUUGCAAAAUAAAAUUGCGAAAAAAGGCAGGAGGCUUCAUAUACCUUCACAACACUCAUUUGGAAAGUUUAAUGACAUACUCAAAGAGAACGAGGCUUUGUAUACUCGUAUGAUGGUAUGACCUUUUAGAUUUGUGGAAUUAUAAUUAUGAAAAUAUAAGUAAGAAAAUAUCUUCCCUUCAGUUCUAAAUUAAUGAAACCAUAUACAACAUGAACAAUAUGAACAUUAAAAACAUAUUAUGUUUUCUGCAUAUGUAUUUUUUGUAUUUAAAAUUCUUAACAUUGCAUAUGUAUUUAGAUGCUCAGUAAAAAUGAUGUACUCUGCAUAUAUAUUUGUAUUGCAAAAUGCUGGUGUGGUUACAACACAUCAGAGAAUAUGGUUUGCAUCUUUUUGUAGCAGUGCAUUUACCUUUUUCUUUUGAUAUCAGGUUGUACCAGCCAUAGAAUAUGUAUAUACAGUGCACGACAAAUAAAAUCACUUCAUCAUUUGCCUCAAGAAAAGAAAGUGCUCAUGUAAUACAUUUCAACUCGAUGAGAUACCAUGUGCACAUGUUUGUGCGGUGUUGGAUAACAAAAUUUUUCAAAAGGGGCCGUAUUAUUGUGAUUUGUUUAAACCAAAAACUGUGUUGAAGACAUAUGAUGUUUCAAUUAUCCGUUGCCAUGCCAAGAUGACUAGAGAAUUUCAGAUAGCGUACUUAGUGAAAUAGCACUGCCUCCGAAGUUCAAACGACCUCCAGGAAGACCUGCAAAGAAGAAUCGUGGAAAAUCGGGCCGGGAUAUAUUUGGAAAGAAAAACAUCAACUCAUUCGGUGGUUGUGGGGCUAAGGGUCACAAUAGGCGUUCUUGUAGGAAAUAUCGCAAAUGAUACAUUUGUUUUUUCGUAUUAUUUCUUAAAACUUUCUUUUUCAGUUUUUAUAAUAAUGAACUAUUUUUUGGGGGUUACUACAUUUAUGCAUCAUUUGAUAACUGAACACAGUUAGAUCUGAAUACUGCAUAUGUAUAUGUUACAAAAAUCUGAACAUUGCAUAUGUAUUUUGAAGCUACAGUUCAUAUGUAUUUUUAACAUUGUAUAUGCAGUUUAGGGCAAAGUUAGUAACUUUGAUUAACCAAACAUGUAUUUAGGUCCUAAAUGAUCAAAGAUUUAAAUACAUAUGACAUAUUCUGCAUAUAUAUGUUUGAAUUGCAAAACCAUAUCACUGCAUAUGUAUUUUUAGGUUAAAUACAUUAGAUGUAUACUGCAUAUGUAUUUUUAAGCAAAAUGUGAACACUGCAUAUGUAUUUUUUAAAUAAAUCUCACAUUAAAAAAGAAAACUGCAUAAAAUACUCAAAUUAAUCUUUAAUUCAAAUGAANNNNNNNNNNNNNCGGUGGUUGUGGGGCUAAGGGUCACAAUAGGCGUUCUUGUAGGAAAUAUCGCAAAUGAUACAUUUGUUUUUUCGUAUUAUUUCUUAAAACUUUCUUUUUCAGUUUUUAUAAUAAUGAACUAUUUUUUGGGGGUUACUACAUUUAUGCAUCAUUUGAUAACUGAACACAGUUAGAUCUGAAUACUGCAUAUGUAUAUGUUACAAAAAUCUGAACAUUGCAUAUGUAUUUUGAAGCUACAGUUCAUAUGUAUUUUUAACAUUGUAUAUGCAGUUUAGGGCAAAGUUAGUAACUUUGAUUAACCAAACAUGUAUUUAGGUCCUAAAUGAUCAAAGAUUUAAAUACAUAUGACAUAUUCUGCAUAUAUAUGUUUGAAUUGCAAAACCAUAUCACUGCAUAUGUAUUUUUAGGUUAAAUACAUUAGAUGUAUACUGCAUAUGUAUUUUUAAGCAAAAUGUGAACACUGCAUAUGUAUUUUUUAAAUAAAUCUCACAGUAAAAAGGAAAACUGCAUAAAAUACUCAAAUUAAUCUUUAAUUCAAAUGAAUAUUUGAAAGUUUGAUUUACACUAAAUGUACUUUGAAAAAUUGAUUUAGCUCAAAUUUAUUUUGAUAAUAAAUGAACACAUUUUAAAAUACAUAUUAGCUAUGUUCCAGAUGUAUCUUUGAGAUGCUUAAUCUUAACAAUGCAUAUGUAUUUUUAUGCUAAAUACAUUUGAUGUAUAAUGCAUAUGUAUUUUUAAGCAAAAUAUGAACACUGCAUAUGUAUGUUGUAACUAAAUUUCGUAAUAAAAAGUAAAACUGCAUGAAAUACUCAAAUUUAUCUUUAAUUCAAAUACUCAUUUAUAUUGAUAAUAAAUGAACACAUAUUAAAAUACAUAUUAGGUAUGCUCCAGAUGUAUUUUUGAAAUGCUUAAUCUUAACACUGCAUAUGUAUUUUUAAGCUAAAUACGUUUGAUGUAUACUGCAUAUGUAUUUUUAAGCAAAAUAGAACACUGCAUAUAAAUUUUUUAACUAAAUCUCACCGUAAAAGGUAGAACUGCAUAAAAUACUCAAAUUAAUCUUUAAUUCAAAUCAAAAUUAGACCUUCAUCAAAAUAAGUACUAUUAUAACCUAUGAUUAGAACCACUUCAAAACAAAAAAAAUUAGUUUGUACAAUCAGAACCUACAUCCAUGCACCAGUUUCUCAGCUAUACAAAGUAAUAAAUCCAUCAACCAUCGUAUAUUAAAAACUUUAGUAACACUAGUUAUUCUAUUUUGUCUUGCAGGCCUCAAGGGUGCUUCGACGUCACUAUGAGCAUUUGCUUCUUGUUUUCGGAUAGUCCCACAAAAGUUCAACGUAUCUUGUAUGGAGUGCAUUGGGAUCGAACUCAGUUGAAAGAACUUUGUGACCAUAAAAAAGGCACCCUGUAUAUGUAACUAUGUAAAGACCACAAUCCCUACAAAAAGAAAAAAAAUUGAUUAAUAACUAAAAUAUAUUUUGUACAAACAUACAAUUUUGGUAGAUGUAUAUUAAAAUACUUACAAGUUUCCACUCAGUUGUUGAGGCAAAUUCUUUUCAAAUAACACAUCAAACAUAUCUGAGGAGUCUUUGUCUUUGUAUCUUGGAUGAUUUUGAAGAUCAAUUCCUUUCUUAUUGUAGAAAUCACAUGCUUGGAGACACAAAGGGAUAAUCUCAGCUAAUUUCUCGAUCUCAGCAAGAACAGCCGGAUAAUGACCAGAUGAUCCAUAUGAAUCAUAUAAGAAUAUGUACCUCUCUGAGAAGGAUAAAACUGCGAGCACCCAGUGAUGUUUUUUCUUUUUAUUGACUGGAAUAUAAAUGUCUCCCACUGUAUGCCAUGGCACAGUAGCAUGCAUACGGAACCCAUUGAUUUAUUCAUUAAGAUAGACCUCUUGUCCUCCCACCGCAAGGUUUGAAUCAUCCACAGAAUAAACAUUAUGAAUAGACCUAAUUAUGUUCAUAAAGUUGCAAUCUACUCUGCUGAAUUUGUAAAACCUGUUGGGGUCAUACUUCGACUUCUUCCUCAAGUAGUAGAAGCAAACAUCAAUUUGCUGCAGUAAUUAAAACCACAAAUCUUAGUACAUUCAAAUAAUUUGUAUACUAAAUUAGCAUGUGUAUAUAAUAUAACAUACAUAUGCAUUUUAUAGUUUAAUGACUACAAUUUACGUAUGUAUAAUUACAUUUGUAAACUACACUUAUAUACAGACAAUGCAAGAAAAAUGAAUAUUCAACAGUACGUGAUUUGAUAGAAAUUCAUAUGUGUAUUAAUAAGUUAUAUAUGUAUUUUUAACACAUCAUUUGUAAAAUAAUAAAAAACAUUGUAAAAAUACAUAUGUGUACCUGUAUAUAUAUUUACAGGUAAUAUAAUAUGCAUUUUAAAUAGUAUUACAACUGCAAAGGAAAAAUUAUCAAAAUAAUAUACUAACCGAGUGUGUCCAUGACUGGUCAGGGAAUCCCAUUGCGUAGAAUCCGUUUUUAUCUUCAACUGUCUCAACUCCGAAAUGCAUCAUUGGAAUGGCUGAUUUGCCCUUUUUGUAAUGAUCAACAUUUUUAUUUAUGUUUUUUUAUCAGUACAUGUUAAAUCAUGAAAACAUAAUGAAAUUUAAAACAAAAGUUGAAACAGUUUAAAAGAAGUACCUUUUAGCAUGACCUUUUAGAAGGUCGACCGAAAUUCAAUCCAAGAACUUUUUGACAAUCUUCGUAUCCAUUAUCCAAUCAAUCAGGUGAUAAACCAAUGGAUAUUUCUGGGGGAAUAUACGUAUGUGUCCUACUGAUCUUCCUAUCUGGGGAAUAUACGUAUGUGUCCUACUGAGCUUCCUAUAUAGUUACAGAAUACAAAAAUGUAAUUAAUAAAAACGUAUUUGCAUAACAUAUUACAUUGAAAACUAUAUAUAUAACUUAGUGCACUCCUUGAACUUGGAUGGUCGCCUAGUCCUUAACUUUUGAAUGGGAGUUUGAAGUUCACGAUUAGCAGAGGGAUGAGAAAUGAUGCUUUUACUACUGUAGACAUUCAGACAAGGAAGCAGCUCAUCAGGAAUUGUAUUUUGUAAUUCAGGUCAAACUAGUUCAUCCCUUUGUUCAUCAGUGGUUAGUUCUUAUAUUUUAGGAGGUGUCGUAAUUUGCUUCUCCAUACCAAGAUCAACCUCUACAUACAACUCUGAUUUUGACCUCAAUUCAAUGUUCUCUUUGUUUGUCUUCAAAAGAUGAGAAAAAGUUUAGUUUGUUUUGUCCAAAAUAACCCACAUAACCUCAAAAAUAUGACCAUUAUACAUACUUGACAAUGAUCUUCAACAACAGACUAAAACUUUUUAUCAUUCAAAUAUUCAUCAGUAGGUUUUUCUUUGCGGGUUGCCGAUAGAUGUGUGGUGAUACUUUCUCUCCAGUAGGCAUUUAGACUUGGCAACAACUCAUCUGGGAUUGUAAACUGCGAAUCAAACAAAUUUGUUUAAUCCAUUUUGUCAUCACUGAUCUGCAAAAGAAAUGAAAAAAAUAGAUAACUAUCCUCUGGAUUGUUAGGAUUGUUACAUCGCAUAAACUCAAAGUUUAAUUCAUUAUACAUAUUCGACCAUCAUGAUGAACAAUCUUCUCAGAAUAUAUAUAAUUCAAAUUUAUACUUCGGAGGAGCUCAUCAGGGAUUAAAAGUUGAGAAUCAAUUUCAACGUUUGUUUUAUCUGGAUGCAAAUUAGUUCACCCCUUGCAAACAAGUAAAAAAAAUUAAAACAGCAUCAAAGAAAAAUCCAAUUAUGUAUGUUUAUAUAAGUCUAUAUAUAAAAUAACACAUAACUGCUAAAAAACAAAAUUACAUAUGUGCACUCAAAUGAAAAAACAUAUGUUAGUUAUUAUUUACCUUUGUACCAUCCUGAUUUUCACCCAAAUUCUGAUCAACAUUCGGACUGAAUCGUUGUGGUGAUGUUUCAGCACCAGUACAAUCCAUAUGUUGGAGUUCAAAAUCUUUAUCUUUCUAUUGUUUCUACAAAUAUAAGUUCAAUAAACUAUUAAUACUUGAGUUCACUGAAUAUGUAUAUACCAAACCACUUAAAAUACAUAUUGCUAUAAAACAUCAUUCAAAAAAUACAUAAUAAUAUACAAAACUAAAAGCAAACUAUUUUACAGAUUAUAAUAUUUACAAUCAAUGUAACAAUACAUAUUCUUAUAACAAAAUACUCACAAAUACAUAUGUAUUUUUAAAUACACUGCAUAUUUUUUUUUAAUACACUGCAUAUGUAUUUCUGAAUAUCCUGCAUAUGUAUUUUUGAAUAUUCUGCAUAUGUAUUUUUGAAUACUCUGCAUAUGUAAUAAUAAAAGUUUUACCUUGCUUUGUUCAAUUGCUUUGAGCAUUAGUUUGAAUUUUUUUUUCACUAAUCUACGAAUUCCUUUAAACUCUUGACGAACCUGUUUUCAUACAAAAGUAUUAAACACAAUUUUUUUAAUGUAAAACUAGUAUUUAACAAAUAAUUUAUCUCGUCGUAGAAUGCAUCAAAAAUAUUCUUAGAAAUGAAGGUUUCUUUUUUACAAGACUAUCUGGCUUUGACAGGGCUUCUAUUUCUACAAGACUCUCUGGUUUUGACUGUACCUGAGGAAAAAUAGCCCUUGCUUUUGCUUCACUUUCUUCGUUUUUGAAGAAGUUGCAUGUCGUGUUUGAAUUGGCUUAAAAACUGGCAUCUUCAUACCAACAACCUUUGCAGCGCGAGGAGCUGGUGUCCUCUUUUGGGUAUGCUCGUCUACAAUAUUGACUGACUUUUUUCUUGAUGGUUUCUUCACUGCAUGGGUUGAUGAAUCAACCUUUUGUUUCUUUUUUGGAUGUUAAUUGAUCUGUUGUGGUGGUGUAUCCUGGAAGUCAUCAUCCGAAUCAACUGAACGUUCAUCUUCAAUUACAUCCUUCUGUGGUAUUUGAAACUUUGCCAAUUCUGUUUGAGUUGGCUAUAUGUUCUUAAAUACAACCUAGAAAUAUAGAUAAAAUAUGUUAAAGAAUCUGUUAAAUAAUUGUAAAUGAAAAUGUAUACUAUAAAAUACAUAUUAAUACAUAUGUAUUUAUUAACAACAAACCUUGCCAUUGUCAUUGAACAUAGCAUCCAUCAAAUACUCAAAACAUGGUCGGGGCGCAUUUGUCUUCCAAUUUAAUAAUCGAAAAAUUCGAUUAUCAACCUUCGAUGCAAUCUUUCGUGGGACAUUUGAACAAUACUCGUAAAGCCACACUUGAAUAGUCAGUGGCAUUCCCUGAAUCAAAUAAAAUUUACAACCAGUUUUCAACCUGUUGUUCAAACUUCUCGCUAGAUCGUCAAAUGAUAAAGUAUCCCAUAGAAAAUCUUUAUAUCUUCCACUAUCUACCAAAUUAAAAUAUAGUAGGGGUAUAACCACAAUAUGAACAUUAGAUAAUACAAAAUCCUAUUUGGUACACCCUCGUAAAAAAUAAAGUCGUACCUAUUAGACACACCAUUUAAUCCAGUAACGAUGGCAAAUUUCCUAGGAGUAAAAUUAAGAGAGGUGCCAUUAGCCCGAAUGAUUAUCCCAGAAAAAGAACUACCCUUAACCUCGAGCGUCAUAACACAUCGGCACAAUUGUGCUUGAACUACACAAUGCUUCUUCUUCAUGAAAUAACCAAAAAUGAUAUUGUCACAAAACUUUUUCUACUGUUCCUUGUUUAAUAUGGAGUGUAUGGUUCCAUCAAUAUCAUUAUAACUGUACGAGCAUAUAUGUGGUGCAAAUCUUGAAAGUUUUCUGACAAUGAAUAUUUCGUCACGCAUCACCUAUACAAAGUAAAACUACAACUUCUUAAACUUUAAAAAAAAAUAUUCAAAUAAGCAAAAAAAUACAUAUAACAUGCAUAUAUAUUUUGAUCAGACCAAAAAUACAACUAAUACUGAAAAAUACAUAUCAAGUAUACUAAAAAUACAUAUAGCCAAAAGGCUCUUCAUGAGUAGUUAAUAUAACAAGAUAUUUUCAUAAUUAUACUAUCAGCUUUGUAUUAAAUUUUGCGCUCCUAAUAUCAUCAUAACAUAAAAUACAUAUUAACUACUUGAAAAAAAAUACAUAUAACUCCCAACUUUGAUACUAACAUCUUUACUUAGAGCAAAACAAAAAUUAACAGUCAAUAAUAGAAAAUACAUUUACAACAAAAAAAUACCUCUUCCUCAAUAUCUUCUUCAGAAUCAUCAGCAAAGGAGCUCUGAACAUCGUCAUCAUCCUUACUUAAUUCUUCAAUUUCUUUAGCUUUUCUUUUCUUCACGUAUUUUUAAAUUUUUUGUUCCUUUGGAGAAAGAGUUUUCUUCAACUUUUUUUCUUCUUUCAAAAUUCCAGUCAUCUUCACCGUGUUGUUACGAAACUUCAACCUAAUCUCCUUCUAUCUCUCAGAUUUCUUCAACCGUAUAGGAUUUGAAACAACUUUAACUACAUCUUCUUGAGUUAACCCAAGACUAAAAGAUGGUCCAUAAUCAGACACCAAAUUAAUAUUCCGUAUACCACUAUUUGUUUGUGAUUUUGAUGUUUGUUCAGCCAUUAAAGCAUAAAAACCUUAAAAUCUGAUUUUGAGAUGUAUUGUAGUUAGAAAAAAAAAAAGAGAAACCGCUAACAUGCAAUAGCUGAAUUAAAGAGUUACCUGAAAUAGAGGAAGAUAAUCCUUAUCAGAUGGUGCUAAAAUCGUGCAAAAGGAAAAAAAAUUAAAGCGGGAAGUGAUUGUUAAUGGCGAAAAAAAAGGAAAAAAUAUUUUAAAUUAAGGAAAGAGAAGAAUAGUGGCGUGAAAAGGGGGAAAUAUGCAAAGUAACUUCUCUUAGGCGGCAAAAGUAGGGGACUACAUUAAAAUAAUGUUAUAGAUGCUACACAGUGUAAUUUGAUAUAAGUGUUGCUAUUUAUUGUAAUUUAAUACUUAAGUAUGCUACUCUAUGUAAUUUUUCCUAUUUAGUAUCCACAAUAUCAUGUCGAGCCUUAAUUCCAAAAUUGUGAUAUCAAAAAUUUUGAUUUCGCUGUGAUAUUUAGUAUACACAAUAUCACGCUAAAUCCUAAUUCUAAAAUCAUUAUAUCAAAAAUGCAAUUUCCAAAAUUGCAAUAUCAAAAAUUUCAAUUUUGAUUUCAAUAUAAGACCCCAUUUGGCCAUAAAAAUAAUAAUUUUUUGGAGUUCGAGUUAAAGUUGAAGUUGAUUUUGUGUUUGACCAUGAAUAUUAGUUGGAGUUAUUUUUAAAUUUUUAUGAGAGAAAUAGGUGUGAGAAAAGUGAAAACAAGUAAAUUUUGUUUUUAUUUUUUCAAAAAUCUUUUUCACUAAAUAAAAUAAUUUUCCAAACACCACUAAAAAUAUUUUUUCUAAAAAAAAAAUAUUCAUGAUAAAAUGUCUACUAAGUGGGUGUUUGUUUGAAUUGACUUAUUUUUAGUGUUUUUAUCUUUUAAACAUUUUUUUAGUUUUGAUAAUGUUUGACAAAGUAAAAAAAUAUUUUUAAACACUUAUUUUUAAGUUAAAAAAUAUCAAAAUAAGUCAAAAGUCAAAACCCAAAGGUAUGAUAUUACAGCUUAUGAUUUUUAGGUUAUAAAGUCCUUGUUAAAAGCAAUCCAAAGCACCCUUCAAGUACUACAAUAUUCAAUAUCUACCGUACCAUACCACCGCUAAUUCCAACCGUCCAUCCUUUCAUCAUCUCAAAAGUUUCCCUCCUUUAUUUCCCGCCAAAUCCAAAAAGAACCAUCAAAUUCUUCAAUUUUACCUUUUCCCCUUCUAAAAAAAAAAGCCUUCAAAAAUCCCAAACACAAAGCACAAAAAUCGAGAAAAAUGGAGAAAUCCGGCAGCUUCGGCGGUAGUUCAGCGCCUACUGGGUGUUACAAAUGCGGUCGUCCAGGUCAUUGGUCAAGAGAUUGUCCGUCAAAUCCAAACAGUACGGACAAAUCUAAUCUGAAUACUACGAAGUAUGGUUCGAAAACCGGAUCGGAUGAAGGAUCGGGUGCGGGUGCGGGAGAUGGAGGUGAUGGUGGAGUUGGAGCUUCGAAGCCGAAGAAAAUACCGAGGACAAUGCCGAAGUUAACUCCGGAUAUACUUUUAUCUGAUAAAGGACUUGGUUAUGUUCUUAGGCAUUUUCCUCGUGCUUUUAAGUAUCGCUGCCAUGGUCAUGAGGUACUUUUGUGAUUUCAUAUAAGGUUUUUGCAGUUUGUUUGCUGUAUCUAUUUUUACUCUUCCUCUGAUUUUUUUUUUUUUUGUAUUUAUUUUGAAUUCGCGUAAUUAGGGAUAUACUAUUAAAAGGGACAAACUAGUUACUCAAUUAGGUUAGAGUCCUUAAGUCUUAAAAAAUGGGUAAAAGGUACAAUUUUUUUUUUUUUUUGAACAUUUUUGCUCCAAUAACUAAAAAAAUUGUCUCAACAACUAUCAAAGUUGUUCGACAACUUUUCAAAGUUAUUCGACAACUAUGAAAGUUGUUCCACAACUAUCACAAUUGUUCGACAACUAUCAAAUUUGUUCGACAACUUUGAUAGUUGUUGAGACAACUAAUGCACUUGUCGAACAACUGUCCUAGUUGUUUAAGUGACUUUAUUUUUUUUAACUUAAUAAUAUUGUGGGACCCACUUGCCCCUUUUUUCUAAUUAAAGACUUGAGAGUGUCUAUGAGCUCAUUUUUCUCGCGUAAUUAAAUUGACAGUAGAGAUAAUACGUUUAAGUUUUUAUGUUUAUUAUUCAUUAAUGAGGUGGAUGUGUGGACAUACUCGUAGGGCUUGUUUGGUAUGAGGGAUGAGGGAUAACUAAUUCCGGGAUUAAUUUUAGGGAUGCAUGGACAUACUCGUAGGGCUUGUUUAUCUCAUGUUUGGUUGGGAUAAAAUCGCAGGAUGCUUUAUCCCAUGAUUAGUUAUUUGGGGAUUUUAGUGUUAUUUUUAUCCCACAUUGAGGGUGGAACAAAAUUCUCGGGAUAGCUUGUUCCGCAACCAAAUGAUCCUGUAGAGAUAAUAUUAGGAAUUAGUAUAUUUGGGACAAUGUGAGAGUGACUUGUAUGGUGUACACAAAGGAGGCAAGGUUGAGAUGGUUUGGGUAUGUAAAGAGGAGAUGCACAUAUGGUCCCAUACUCCCAUUGGUCUGGUGUGAGAGGUUGGAUUUGAUGGGAACUAGGAGAGGUAGCAGUAGGUCUAAUAGUAUUCGGCAGCUGUGAUUAGGCAAGACAUUUGGUGCUGCCUUAGUUUAAUUUUGACAUGAACUAACAUAGGAGGCUAUGGAGGUAGUGGUAGGUCGCAGAUUAGGAUAGAAGGUUAGCAGGUAGUUGAGCGUUGUCUCUCUUUAUUGUGGGAUUUGGCUUGGUGGUAGCCUGAAGCACCAUGUACGUUGUAGUAUUAGCCUUUUUCAUGAAGUUUCCUGUUGUUUUAUUCAUCUAUUACAAUAUAGUGUUGUUGUUACUGGUCCUUUUAUGCUUUGUAUUGUUUUCCAUAUUAGUUGUCAUGUUUUCUUUAUUGCAUUAUUUCCUUGUUCAUGGGUAUUCUGAUUUGAUGCACUUAAGCCUAGGGCCUUUGGAAACAGCCUCUCUACUUUCAUGGGGUAGGGGUCCUGCAUACACUCAAACCUCCCUAGACUCCACUUGUGGGAUUACACGAUUGUUGUUGUAUUCGUGAGAGAAUGAUUUGCACUUCACUAUAUAACUGAAGUUUCGAACAUAUCUUGAUUACUGACUACAAAUUGGUUUUCUGAAGAAUGUAUAAUUUCUGGUUGAUAAUGUUUCAUUUCAUAUGCUAAAUAGAUUCAUUUUACUUGUUGAACCAAAGGACAAUCUGUAGCAAACGUUAUUCUGAGGCAUUUUACCUAUUGCUUAUGUGACUUUCUUUAUAUUCUAAUUGAUUAGCGUCCAGAUUAAGCCUCGUUAGGAUAGAUCUCUAUACAUAUUACCUUCUCUGGACUCCACUUGUGGGUAUGUUGUUGUUACGUCCAGAAUAACCGAAACUCUUCAAUCACUUUUUUUAUUGGUAAAGUAAGUUUUAUUGAUGUAAAAAACAGGAGAAAGAGAAUGUUGUUACUGGUAACAUCCAGAAAAAAACCCACUUCAAUUACUUAAUAUGUCAAUAAUAUUAAUUCUAUUUGCCUCAAGACAUUUUAUGGCAGUAAGCAGACUUUGUUUUUCCCUGUUUAUUUUGUGUAAGUUGAAAAGAGAAGCAUCUUGUGCCUCUUCAAGAUUGGUAAUUUUGAUUCUUUGCAUGAAGAUGGUGACCGCUAGAAUGUUUAGUCCAUCAUUUUGGUUAAAUGAUAUGCCAGUCCUUUUUGUUGCAGCCUUGGUAGAAAAUGAACAAUUUUGGAAGUGUAUGUAUUUAGACAAGUGGUGCUUCAGCAUCUGAGUGAUUUGCUUAUAAUUCAAUCUUAACUGGGUGCAGGUUGCUGAUUUGGGUCACCUACUUGGCUUAUAUGCUGAAUGGCAUGCGAGUUUACUUCCUUAUUACUCAUUUGAUCAGUUCAUACAUAAGGUGGAAAAACUUGGCGGCUCAAAGAGAGUCAAGGUAACUAGUUUCAAUCCGCCAGCUUUGCUGUUCCAAUUGUGUUAGACACACUUGUCAUGAAAUGUGUGCUAUCUUUCGAUUUAAAAAUUAUUAUUCUUUUGGCUUUCAUUAGACCUAACUUCCAGCAAGGUAAAAUGGAAUAUAUGGAGAUGAAGGCUCUUGGAAAAUGGAGACCCUUUAAACAUGUCUAAAUAAAUACUCAGUCUUGGAAAUAGAAUACUCGACAUUGCUCUUUAACCGAAAGUCAAUGAGAUGCUAGAUCUAUUUUGCUAUACUCAUGAUGUUUUGAGAAGUAGAAUGUAUCUGCAUAUAGUAAAUUUGAAUAUCUGUGGUCAAAAAGUCGUCCAAACUUUUCAUAUUCUCUUGAUUGUGUUAGUUUGAUAUUUGUGAAUAGAUAGCUCAUUAAUUAAUCAUCUGCAUCUUCCCUGUAAAUUUUGAGCCAUUAGGCCAUCAGGUAAGACUAAAUCUUUCCUGCUUGGCAACUCUCUCUAUAUGUUUAAUGUUUAAUUAAUGGUGGUAAGUUUGUUAUCAUUGCACUUUAUAGCGUCUCCUUUGUGCUAGUGUCUUUUCGCGCCAUUUACUAUCAGUUUUAGUGUCAAACCAUGACAAGAUGAUAUAUCAACUGUUAGAGUAUGAGUAGGAAUAGGAAUAACAUAUAGAUUCCUACUUGGAAAAGGAUUGUAAUGUAGUGUCCUAUUAAGAAAAGGAUUGGAAGGUAGUGUCUAUAAAUAGGACCUCAAUGUAAUAAUGUUGAUACAACAAUUCAAUAAUAUUUUUCUCUUAUAUUUUUUACAUGGUAUUAGAGCUUCCACGAUCUUGGUAAAAAAAAUCAAAGAGUUUUCGCUGUCGGUGGGCGGUUAUAAUUCAUAUAUAUUACCAAAAGUUGGGACACUGACUGUCCGGUGACUACUUUUUCAUAUCUAUCUUUCGUAGCACCGUGCUUUUUUUCGGUGACUAUUUUCUCAUAUCUGAUUUGCGUAGUACCGUGCAUCUUUCCAGACUACUUUCUCAUAUUUGAGUUGCAUAGCACCGUGCAUCUUUCUGGUGACUCUUCAGAUUUAAUUUACGUAGUUCCGUACGUUUUUUCGGUGACUCCUCAGAUCUAAUUUAUGUAUGGUCGUGCCAUCAUUCCGAUCCUACCCAUAUAAUUUCUCUUUUUCAAUAGUGUCGUUCUAUCAUUCCAACCCUAUCACAUAAUUUUUCUUUUUCAGUAGGGUCGUGCCCUCAUUCCGACCCUACCCAUAUAAUUUCUCUUUUUCAGUAGAAUCGUGCCGUCAUUUCGACCCUACCCAUAUUUUCUAUUUUCCAAUAGGGUCGUGCCACCAAUUCGACCCUACCCAUAUAAUUUCUCUUUCUUGUAAGGUUGUGCUAUCAUUCCAACCCUACCCAUAUAAUUUUUUCCUAGAUUGUGAUCACUUUUCAGCCAUCAAAUCUAAUAAUCCAGCGCGUAGGCAUGUUUCGACCAUUUUUUCAGUGACUUUCUUGUUCAAGAUCUACUCAUCUCUUGAUUUCGAGAUGACCCAUAUAUUUUAUACCAGUUUCCGGCAAUUUUCCAGCGACAGAUCGACUUCCCGACGAUGUUUACUAUUUCAGAUUACUUUUUCAGAUUUUUCUUUUUAAUUGAGGUCUCCCAGAAAGUUUUCUUGCAAAUAUCUUCAUCAAGUCCCUCACCGAUCCUCGUAUUAAUUACAUCCAUAACAAGCUUGGUACAUAUGCCUUCUAUUUACCAGCUUGAGGGGGAGUAUUAGAAUAUGAGUAGAAAUAGGAAUAACAUAUAAAUUCCUACUUGGAAAAAGAUUGUAAUGUAGUGUCCUAUUAAGAAAAGGAUUGAAAUGGAGUGUCUAUAAAUAGGGGCCUCAAUGUAAUAAUGUUGAUACAACAAUUCAAUAAUAUUUUUCUCUUAUAUUUCUUCACAUCAACAACAUUUUUGAAGCAAUAAUUGGAUAAUGUGCAAUGUCAUUCUUCAGUCCCUGAAAAAUCACUUCAUAUCACUUAUGUUAUCCAUUGCAAGGCCUCCUUGAGACACAGACAUCCAUUUUGGGGGUACAUCCUGCUUAGCCAAUUCAUUUAGCUGCAUCCAAUAUUAUAACCUUUUAGACACUAUGAAAGGUUAGACAAGAGGGGUUUGCUCAGGUAGUAAGCACCUUCUGCCUCCAAUCUUAAGGAUGUGGUUCCGAGUCAGUAGUCACCAAGGGAGCCAAAAGGUGGGACCUCCUAGGAGGGGUAAAAACUUUUGGAAGAUGAAAGCAGAAUAAAUAUGGGCCACAACUUCACGUAUGUUUAGGAGUAUUAUGUGCAAGAUCAUUGUGCAAAAUCAUCCUUUAUGAUUUCUUCGCAAAUUUGAUCGUCAUAAGAAUUGAACCAAGCAAUUUCAACUGUUGCCAAAUAGCAUUCUGUUGUGAAAGCCUGUUACAUGAACUUAAUAUUUUAUUUUUUUGAAAUUGGUAACUUUGACGUGAGCUUAAUAUUCAAAAAACAAGAUUUAUAGCUGACUUUUAACCAGAUAUGUCUCACUCUAUUUGUUGCAACAGGUCAUGUACCCCAAUAGAUGAUGAUUGAAAGAUAGUUUGUUGUGUGACCUUAUAGUUUGUUGUGUGACCUUCACUAAACACAUGAAACAAAUAUGUGGUAAAGAUUUUGUGUUUUCCUUGUCAAGCUUACCAGGAUUCUUUUCCUUUGAACAGGUAUGCAUGAAAGGACUACGAGAUAAGGUUGCCGAUGGGGUGGAUCCUUCAAAGCUGUAUGAGCCACAAGUACACGAACAACAAAUAAAUCGACAGGGUACAUCUCUAUCAGUUUCUAGGCAUUAAGUAUUCUUGUUUUCUUAUCUCAAUUUACUUCGAGGUUGUGAAAGUAGCAAUAUAUGACUACUAACAACUAACGAAUUACUUAUAAAAUGUUGAACUUCCAUUGAAAUUUUUUAUAUCACUCACUUUGUUUUGUCUCAUGAAGCAUAUAUAAAGUCCGGAGGUACUAUGAUUGCAGUACUUUAGUUUAGAUACUAAACUUUAAUAUUUGAAAUAUCUGGUAGAGUAUUAGAAUAUUGGUUUGAGGAGUAUUUCAAGUGAAAUAAUGGUUUGUAUUCACCAACUUUUAACUCUUACUAACAUCUUUCUGAAUGAAGUUAUGUCCAAACAUAACCUCAACUCCAAAGUACUGUUUUCCAACUUCAACUUCCGAAUACUCUUUUUCAACUUCAUCCAAAAUUCUAAAUAUUGUCCAAAUGGCUACCUACUUGAAUCAGGAAAAAGGAAAUGUAGCUGUUGGGUAAGUUUAAGAGAUAUUCAAAUUAACAUAUAUCAAAUGCGAAUGCUAAUUCUUUCAUUUGCAGAGUACUUCAUUUAACUUCAGUUCUCUUAUGCUGAAAGUUCUAUGUAUUAAUCCUCAACUAUUAGACAACAUAAUGCCUCUUCUCUAUUGUUUUCUUGGGGAAAAAGGCCUAUUAAAAAUCUUAUGGGCUUGUAUUUUAUUCUUCAAUUGUCUUUCACAUUGUCUGUCAAUUCUCUUAAUUAUGUAAGAUUUCAUACCAUUUGAGAUUGAAACAUUUAAGCUAAAUUAGGAGCUGUCUUGUUAUAUAUCACUAGCAAAUUGUCAUUAAGGGUAUACGGUAGUUCCUAUUUGUAUAGAGGAUUUGGUGUCUUUUGGAGAGAACCAUAUUCUGUAGGUUUCUCCUUUUUGGGUAUAUCUCUUACUUACGACUAUCUCAGCCUUGUUAUUAUUAAUGAAAUACUUUACUUGAUCAAAAAAAGAGGCCAGCUUGGCUUUCUAGUUUUUAAAAUUCAACGUCUAAUGUAGCUCCUCCCUUCUCUUUAAACAUUGAAGAACUAUGAUGAACGAGUAACUUUAUUGAUCAUGCAGAGUUGGAGAAGAUACGUACUUCUGUUUUCAAAACUAAAUAUGACUUUUCUACAGAAUGUGAUAUGCCUAUGUAUGCUGGUCAUUUGCAAUCAUUAUGGUCAGUUUCAAGUGCACUUUUUGUUGAUUCUGUGAAUAGCAAAGGACAAUUCGUGAUAUGUGCCAUCCAUAAAUAAAUUUUCUUUUCUGCUUCUGGAUGAUUGGAUUUGAAAUCAGAAAUUGCAUCUCUGCUGUAUAUUGUAUGCAGAAUUCAAGGACUCAGAACCAACUGAUUAUCCAGAAGAUGUGACGCAAAAUCCAAAUCCUAAAGAUUUUCAGGCAAUCAUGCUUAAUGAUUUGUGGGAGAAGGCAAUUGGGGUAAGAAAAGUAAUGAAAUUUCCAACAGAUUUCUGUGUAUUGAUUUGUCUUAUUUCCCAAAAUAACUAUAAGUGUUUACUUUGUCUGGCAUGUAGUAUCACCCCUAGUCUAGUAAAUUAACCCUAUUACGUGUAUAUUUAUUUUCCUUGUUCCUGUGUUGUGAAAUUCUAUUCAGUUGGCAACAACGUACACUUCCACAAUACUACACCUGGAAUUUGAGUUGGGUAUGUUGAGACCAAAAUUAACCCAGCCCUUGAAACAAUUUGCCCACCCUAGUUAGCUUCUCCGUGUGCCAUCAGAGGAAUUAUCAUAUAGACUGUUAAUGGUAGUGCAACAGAAUUAGGGGAUUAAAUAAAUUCAUUCUAGUGAUUUCUUAUGUAUGCCAACCUCGAACUAUCAGAAUACCAGAGAGUAGAUAAUGGUUAGCUUAAGGAAAAUAUCAAGCUUGAACUGCAGAAACCAGGAAAUCACUUGCUCUUCUAGGUGUAUCCAUGGGAGUGCUUUUAGAACUUGAAGUUCUUUACUUUUUGAAGCUUGACGAGAUUUGCUAGGGAAAAGAGAUAGUGUAUGCUAGUGGGCUUACACAGCUUUUGGGACAUAAUUCUUACAGCAGUUCGUUAGAAAUGUUUAAUAUAACAUUUCUUGAAAACAGCUUUCGUAUAGAUGCUCGCUAUUUUAGAAACAUGUUUGAAAAACUUAUUGUGUUUGAUUGAUUAUUUAAGAGCAGAAAAGCUAAAACACAACCUAUCAGUUUUUAAAACUUCCAAUCAUACCAUCAUAUGAAGAAAACUCACCUGAUCAAUGAUUAUUUGUUAACCAAGGAUUCCAUAGUUAAUCCGUCCAUUGACUAUUAUCCUCGCAGAAUUUUUGGUCGUUGGCCACACUGGUAAAAUUUGACACAAACUUCAGUCACACCUGAUUAUUACUCGCUAGCAUACUUUACUACUGCAGCUCAUAAUUUGUUACAUAUUUGACAGGAACCAUCUGAACCAUUCCAUCAAAAAAUUGUUGCUGCCGAUACAUCUUCUGCAGUGAAAGAUACAGUAAAUCAGGCUCCAGAUAAUGUAUCAAAAAGUUCUGGGGUUAUCCAGAUCUCGGAAGAACAAAGAGCUCGGAUGGAGGCUAAUAAGUUGAAGGCAUUACAGAGAGCUGCUGCUCGAAAAUCUACAUAGCUUACAUAGAGCUCCAUAGAAGUUUCUAAGUUACUGUAUCCUAUUGUAAAUUGCUCAUGAGUUCUUUUUUUUAAAGUUAUGUGCUUAAAAGUACUUUGUGGGUGAUGUUAGUUCAUAGUAUUACGUGUGAUUGUCUUGUUUCUUUUAUUAUCUAGUGGUGUUUACUCCAUUUUAUUAUUUGUUUUUAUGUUUUCUGGUUAUAUAGUUAUUUGUUUUGAGCUGGGGUCUAUCGGAAACAACUUCUCUACUUCAUUAUCUGAGGUAGUGGUAUGAAUUGUGUACACUUUACCUUCCCCAAGCCACACUUUGUGGAAAUACAUUGGGUAUGUUAUUGUUGUUGUAUGUGCUUAAAAGUACUUUAUCUUGAAUGUCAAUUGUCAAGACUCGCGAGAUUGGUCUAAAUCAUUAUUUUUAGGGAUGAAAAUAGUAGGGAUGUGGGGUGAGUUUAAGUAAGUUUUUUUUUAAAUAAUGUGGGGGCAAAAAAGCUAAAAAUUAGUAUUAUUCUCAUGAGUCUACUUAAAAUUAUAUGUAUUCUUCGCUUAAAAUUUUAUAAUACUUAAAACGAUAUGCAUAACAUUAUAAAUAAAUAAUUUUAUAACUUUUUAAAUUUCUUUAUUUAUCUUAAUGAAAAUUUGAUAUUUGAUCAUUACUUGUACACGAGGUAUUUUCUAACAAUUUCUUAGUGAAAAGUGAUAUAAUAGUGGAGUUGCAAAUUUUUCAAAAAAUAAAAAUGUGGGGCGGUGCGGGUAUGUGUGAGUAUGAGUAUGGGCGGAUUUAAAGGUGAUGCGGAGCGGGGCAGUUUUAAAAUUCGUGGGUUUAAAAAAAGGAAAAAUUACCUAAAAGAACGACUUAAGUUUCUAAACCACUAAAAAUUCCUUCAUUUUAAAAAUAUUUCAUAUAUCUCAACAUUUACUACUUUUACCCUUUGUAGUUAAAAGUUGAAAUACAUGUUAAAAUAUUCCUUUUACAAUUACAAUUUUACCAAAUUAAGCAAAGGUUUCCUCUUCUUUCAACGCCUUCUUUUCUGUUGUAGUUUCAAUCCAUUUUUUUGUUCUAAUUCAAACUUUUAAAUUAAGGUAAAAUUUUCCCCUAAAAUCAUAUUCAAUAUCUUUUUAUUAUUAUCAGAGUUAUUUUACCUAGUCCCUGUUCCCUCUCCCAUUCCCCAUUCCCCAGCGCCGCAAAAAUGACUACCCGUUUCAAGAAAAAUAGAAAGAAGCGCGGCCACGUCAGCGUUGUUCACAGUCGUAUAGGUAAGCACAGGAAGCAUCCCGAUGGUCAUGGUAACGUUGGAGGUAUGCCCUACUGUCAACAUCGACAAGCUUUGGUAACUUGUGUCCACAAGAUGUGAAGGAUAAGGUUGCUGUAAGCAAAGGUAGUGCUCCGUUGAUUGAUGUGACUCAGGACGGGUACUUUAAGGUGUUGUGCAUCAUUAUCUCAAAACAAAAAUUCAAGAUUUAUGGACCUUCAUAGCAAUUUCUUGUAUCUCUUGUUCUCUGUUUUUGUUGUUAUAUGUAUCUUUUGUUUUUUACGUUUUAGUGAAAUAGGCAUAUCAAACAUAAAUGUUAGUAAGUUUAAAUAUAUAUAUAUAUAUAUAUAUUGUGUACGAGGUUGUUUUGUAUGUAUCUCACACUAUUUUUUGUUUUGAUUUAAUUAUUUAUACCAAAGAUACAUAUUAUGUAAAUCAACAGAUACAUUCUAAGCUUUUUGAAUAUCUGAUUUUGUUAUUGUGAAUUUAUGUAUCUCUUGUUAUUUCAGAUUUGGGUAAUUUCAGGAUUAGAUAUACAUAUUUACACAUACAUGAUAUUUUUUUCAAUAUCUUGUAUCUAUUGUUAUCUGUUUAAGUUUUAUAUGUAUCUCUUGUUUUUAAGUUUUAGUGAAAUCAGCAUACUAAAGAUACAUGUUAGUAGGCUUAAAGAUACAUAUAGUGUAUGAGGGGUAUGUAAUAUGUAUCUCGCAUUAUUUUAUUUUUUUUUAUUCAGUUAUUUAUAUCAAAGAUACAUAUUCUGUAAAUAAACAGAUAUAAUUUAAAUAUUUUGUAUCUCUAGUAUUGUGUUAUUGUAGAUGUAUGUAUCUUGUUAUUGCCUAUAUAUAUUUUCUUUAUGUUCAUACUUCUCUAUAUUUUUCUUUGCAGGUUUGCCCCAUAUGUAAUGAUGAGGUCUCAUGUCACCAAGGAUCUAUAGCUUUAUGACACUUUGUAUUAAACCAAAUUAUUGUAUUGAAAUCGGUCAAAGAUUUAUUGAAUAUGUCGAGGAAAAUACACAAGUUUUUCAUUAACAUAUUCUACUAACAUAAAUUCUAUUUGAAUUAGGGGUAUGAGCUUCAUGCAUGUUUAUUGAGUAUCAAAAUAUAUGAAUUUCCACUAUGUUCAUAAAAUAAACUAGUUUCAUUCCUAAGCUGAUCAAAGACGGAUCCAGGAUUUUGAAUGCACGUUGAUAAGGACAGGCUCCUGCUUUGACUAACUUAUGCAACUUGUCAAGUAUCACGCUGUAAAAGUUUUAUACUCAAAGGGUAAAACAAAAAUAAUGUUAACAAAGUGCAAAGCAGGAAAACUCAAGAUUCAUUAGAAAUUAAAAUUCUUUAGUAGUAAAGUUUAUAGAAUAGAAUUUUUUUUUUUACAGAUUCUGAUAACUUAUUAUCCUUAGUAAGUCUUUUCAAGUUAUAGCACAGAACAAUGCUUCUUUGAAUUUAAAAGAAGAUUGGGGAAUAUACAAUAUGAUGGACUUGAAAAAAUUAAAAAGAAGAGCAAAGAAACUUUCUGCCAAAGAAAAUAGUAUUGUACUCGAAAAUAGUGUUCGAGCUAAUUUGCACGCACCAUGAAUAUUCCAUGGGAUAUUUGCAAUUUACCAACAACACAGAUACCGGAUAAAUCUAUCCAUCAAAGCUUGAAUGGAUCAAUGUAGAAAUCAUCUAGUGUUUUGACAUCUUAUAAUUCUAAGUGAGCUUUUUCAUGCAAUAGAACAGAACAAUACUUCCUUGAAUUUCAAGGAGGAUUUGGGGCAUAUACAAUAGGAUGGAUUUGUAAAAUCUAAAAAAAAAAAGAAUAAGAUAAACUCUCUAUAAACAGAAAAUAAUAUAGUAUAAGUAAAAGGCAAAAACAACUUUUUUCUUCUCCUUUCAGUUGAAUCAUGUUCAAUUUAUGUUGCUUGGGCUCUUUAAAUAUCCAUAUACAAUCCUCCGAGCAACAUUUUAGGACAUAGCUGCAAUCAUACAAAAAAAAAACUUCAUAAUUUGUUACAAAAAUAAGAUGUAUUUUAAUGUACUGAAAAAAAUAAUGAGAGAUACAUACACUGCACCAUCGUGCACAAAAAAAAUAAGAGAUACAUACACUGCAUUAUUAAUGCGACCCAAACUAGGGCCUAGUCGUAAUGGACAUCCCAAGUCCAACCAAGACCGGGGACCACCCCCUUCUAACCAACCCAAUCAUCUUAUUCACCCCUUGAUGGACGGAAUUUCGAGCAUAUAACAAGAUAGCGUGUUAGCUCACAUCAAGACUCUGGGAUAGGAUCACGACCGUGACCAACCCAAUCGAGUCCAGCCGUCCAGCCAUACCAACCAUCCACUUAUACCAAACCAAAGGCCAUAAACCAGGCAAUAACCAAGGAAAUUCCAAGAUAUAAUAUUAUCAAUCCCCCAAAUAUAAUACGAUGGAACAGUGAUAAAUUAUGUCCAAUGAUGUCAGAGCCAAUACCAAUACUAAGGCUGACACCCAUACCAACUGUAAUACCCCGAACUUUCUUUAAGUCUAAUAUCGUCUCUAGAAGGUUAAGAAAUGACUUCCUAAGUGAUUAAUGUUUUCAAAUCGUAAAGAAUUUUCCUAAUUUUUACUUUUUAUCAUGUGGAAAAUUGAAUCAGCUUUUCAAUGAUAUAAGAUUUGCCUAAAUCUGAUAACCGGGUAAGAAGUUAUGGCUAAUUUAAGUUCUAGUCGUAAAACACCAUUAUUUUGGUGUUUAGCGCAUCUCGAAGAGGGUUUAAUUAUCAUUUGUCAAAUUUAAGUGGGGCUUCGCGAUGGUGGCGCAUCGCGGAGGACCCCAAUUUCUCAAUAGUCAAUUUCCAAUAGCCUAGCGCGAUCAUGUCACGUCGCACUGAAGUUCCAGGUCCCAAUCAGUGGGACAACAUGAUGGCUCCACGUCGCAGUGAAUCCCAGAUUCCCAAUUGUCAAUUUCCAGUGAGCCACCACGAUAGUGGCGCGUCGCGGUGGCCCAUGAAAUCGGGCUCCCAGUUAUAUUUUUCCAGUUAUGUUAAGGUUUAAAAGGGGGGUAUUUUGGGCAAUUACCCUACCCCCAAUUUGUCCAAAAACAUAAAAUCAAUGGUAUUACAAAGCUCUUUAUGCCCUAAAUCCUCAUUCUCUUCAAAACAAAACCCUAAGCAUCCAAAUUCUCUUCCAAGAAUCUCAAGAGUUCACCAUAGAUUUUAUAAAUUGAGUCAACAUUCAAGAUUCCUAAGUCAAAAGCUUCAAGAACCCUCACUUAAGAGUACCAAAAGGAGUCUCAAGAAAGUUGUUCAUCCAAGUUUAUCAAUCUAAGAUAUGUGGGGUUUGAAUAAGAACACUCCUUUCGUUCUUGUACCCAAAAUUUGCACUAAUUUACAAAGAUACAUGAUUUUACAUGUUUCCUUAUGAAUUUGAAGUAUGAAUUUAUACCCUAUGUGGUUGUUCUUGAGAUUAUGAGAUUUUGAAUGCUUUAGUAGUUGAAUUUUAUGAGUAUAUUUUUAUGAGUAUUGCUGAAAUUUCCAGAUUUCCAAAUAAUUUAUGCAUGUUUAUGAUAUAAAGUAUGAAUUUUAGAUGUUUGAUCAUGAUAUUGACAUAUGGGUCAUCAAGCCCUAUUUUAGAAUGUGAUUUUGAGAAUUGUUGUGCUACAUGCACCUUAUGAUUAGACUAUUUUGAAAUAAUUUAGAAAGAUUUGACCCUUUGGUCACAAUAGAGUUGAAAUCCACUUUACGAAAUGAGAUUACAGACUUCAUAAUUGAUUUCCUUAUGAGACAUGAGAUUACUUUAAAGUGGAUUUUCUUGAGACUUUGAGCAUAGAUUGGGAGUAGUAUUUAGCACCGAGUUGGGCAUGUUAAUACAGUUUCAUACCCUAAAACUACGUGCCACCGUAGGUUGAGAUACUUAUUUCCACUAUACGUGGGUAACUGAGAUAGUGAUCACUAAGAUAGAUUAUUCUAUUCUGAUGGCAAGAGUAGAAUAGCCCUAACCUUACGGGGGCUAGUCGUGGGACACUAUGGAUGCUCACAUGGUGUACAUGUCGGUUAGAAGAACCUCCCAAAUAGAAGUUCCCCACUUUUGAAGCAGUUCUUUGAGAUAAAAUAUUUACUAUGCAGAAUAAAGUUUCAAACUUUAUCUAGAUUACAUGAUUCGAGAACAAGAACUAACUACAGUCUUUAGAGCUAAGUGUAAUGACUUAUGGAAUCCAGAUUAUAUGUUUUACUAUUCGUUACUUUGUAUCUUCAGAUUUCAAAUUCUUCAAGCUAUGUGAGCCACUUACAUUUAACAUUACAUGAUUUUAUAACCUGUGAAAUAUUAUUUUAUAUAUUGUAUGUACCCCCAUAUAGUCAGUACAUACUCAAAGUACUUAUCCACAUAUACGUCUGUGUGCUUCAUUGUCUCAUAAUGUAGGUUCAUGUGCUCGGUCCCAACAACAUUAGUGAUCCCGAGUACCUUGUCUACAUUUCCACAGUGGUGAGUCCUCAUGGUACGAGGACCUAUUUUCAAGACAUUCAGUAUUAUUAGCAGUUGGUUUUGUUGAUUUCAGUUUGAGUCAGUUGGGGAUCUGUCCCAAUGGCUCUCUAGUUUUCUUGACUAGUAGAGGCUUUGUCAGACUAGAUUAUCAGUAUGUCUAGACUUCCAGUAUUUUGACUGUAGAGAUAAGUAUUUCCUUGUAUUCCAUUAUGAUCAUGAUAUGACCGUACCAUUGUUUUACUUUAUUUAUCUCUAAGUAAGUUUUAUAUGUAGUAGAAAGCUCAAAAGGUUAGCUUGAGGUUACUUGUAGCCUUAAGCACCGUGUGACUCUCUGGGAUGGAAUUUUGGGGCGUUACACCUACCCAUAAAAGUACCAUAAAAUUUGGUUGGGACAUGCCCCCAACCAUGGCCAAAACUAAUCUCCAAAAUAAAAUCAAAGUGUCUAGAAAUAUCCAUAACAUGAAAUGGAGCCUUCCGAAAGGAUAGAAGCUCACCACUUCAGUCCAAAUGCUGAUCUCCGAGUCAAAUCACUAUGUAGGAGGAGUAGAAUGGUCGGUCCCUGCAUAGCGUGGGUAUACAACCGCCAGUCGACGGGUUAGCGAGUGAUCGCUAGCAUGAACUCAGGAUAAGGAUAAAAUAAUGUCAUUUAUAAAACCAAGUAAAUCAUCCAUAAUGCAUACAACCAUACAUAUAUAUAUAUAUAACCGUGCCAUAAAAGGGAAUUCUUGAUUAACAUGUACUUAAAACCUUUACCUGGGCUAUGUAGAUUUGCCAUCCUAAAUCACCCACGGGGUAUAUGGAUUCAGCUCCCCUAGCUGAAAGAUCCCCAGUGUGUGAAGCCGCAAGAUCGGAGAAAAUAACCUAGGAUGACUAGUACAUCCCCCAAAAUAUAGUGUGACAUCAUGCACACGGUCACCAAGACCAAACCUCACAUCGUCAAAUAUGAGUUUCCAGUUUUGGUCCCCCCGAGACCUCCACCUUCCACGACAUUGCUACACCUUCACCUUUAACGUUCAAUUAAAACAAUUUCCAACCAACCAAAUCAUUAUCCGUUUAUUAACCAAGGCCAUUAGUGGUGGUAUCAUCAUACCAACCAUAACUUGCAAGUAUUUUUUGUAGCCAACCAUUUAUAGAUUAAGGGGACUUUCAAGUGUCCUUCCAUUUACCAUAUCAAACCACUUGGGUAUUAACAUGUACCCCACAAUCAUUACCAUUUAGACUUAUACCUUUUCAAAGCAUUUAAGACAUUUUAGUUCCAUUACCAAAUUUAAACAAGCAAGAUGUAAUACCCCGAGACUCUAACCAAUAGUGCAACCAUGACUCAAGCUCAUGAGAAGUAAAUUAUAGUGAUUUGGUUGUUUUAUGAUCAAGGGUGAUGUGUAUUAAGGCCUCAAAGAUCUCCUAGCGAUUAGGUGAAUCAAAACAUUCCUUAUAGAUUGAUUCUUGGGAAGGAUAUUGCUAUAUUCAACUUUAAAUGAUCAUAUCUCUCAUUAUACUAAGAAUUAUUAAGCUCAUGACCUACCAAAAGAUAGAUAAUUGAAUUAUCUUUCCAACAAUACCAAUUUCACCCAAAUCUGGUAUCGGGACCAAGAGUUAUGCCCAUUUCACUCCAUCAUGUCAGGCUGAAAAACUGAGUGACGACAUUUUGUGAUAAGCUGUCACAAGUGUGACGACUUAUCACCAAUGUCAUCAGCCUUAGGAAGAUUUCCACCCCCAGUGAUGAUAUUUUUUGAUAAGUUGUCACAAGUGUGAUGACUUAUCACCAAUGUCGUCAACCUUAAGCAGAAAAUCAUAAAAUUCACCCUUUUGUGACAACAUUUUGUGACGACUUGUCACGAAUGUCGUCAGCUAUUUUUUUCAGCAAUUAAAGGACGUUUUUGAAGGGUAUUUUGAUUUUUUUUCCAUAUUUUGGAGGCCCCUAUAUAUAUGAGAAUUCCCAUAUAAACCCUAAUUUCUUCAUUCUCUCUUCCAAUUCUCUUAAGAAAUAUAUCUAGGGUUUUUAUUUAAGGACAUUAAUCUUNNNNNNNNNNNNNNNNNNNNNNNNNNNNNNNNNNNNNNNNNNNNNNNNNNNNNNNNNNNNNNNNNNNNNNNNNNNNNNNNNNNNNNNNNNNNNNNNNNNNNNNNNNNNNNNNNNNNNNNNNNNNNNNNNNNNNNNNNNNNNNNNNNNNNNNNNNNNNNNNNNNNNNNNNNNNNNNNNNNNNNNNNNNNNNNNNNNNNNNNNNNNNNNNNNNNNNNNNNNNNNNNNNNNNNNNNNNNNNNNNNNNNNNNNNNNNNNNNNNNNNNNNNNNNNNNNNNNNNNNNNNNNNNNNNNNNNNNNNNNNNNNNNNNNNNNNNNNNNNNNNNNNNNNNNNNNNNNNNNNNNNNNNNNNNNNNNNNNNNNNNNNNNNNNNNNNNNNNNNNNNNNNNNNNNNNNNNNNNNNNNNNNNNNNNNNNNNNNNNNNNNNNNNNNNNNNNNNNNNNNNNNNNNNNNNNNNNNNNNNNNNNNNNNNNNNNNNNNNNNNNNNNNNNNNNNNNNNNNNNNNNNNNNNNNNNNNNNNNNNNNNNNNNNNNNNNNNNNNNNNNNNNNNNNNNNNNNNNNNNNNNNNNNNNNNNNNNNNNNNNNNNNNNNNNNNNNNNNNNNNNNNNNNNNNNNNNNNNNNNNNNNNNNNNNNNNNNNNNNNNNNNNNNNNNNNNNNNNNNNNNNNNNNNNNNNNNNNNNNNNNNNNNNNNNNNNNNNNNNNNNNNNNNNNNNNNNNNNNNNNNNNNNNNNNNNNNNNNNNNNNNNNNNNNNNNNNNNNNNNNNNNNNNNNNNNNNNNNNNNNNNNNNNNNNNNNNNNNNNNNNNNNNNNNNNNNNNNNNNNNNNNNNNNNNNNNNNNNNNNNNNNNNNNNNNNNNNNNNNNNNNNNNNNNNNNNNNNNNNNNNNNNNNNNNNNNNNNNNNNNNNNNNNNNNNNNNNNNNNNNNNNNNNNNNNNNNNNNNNNNNNNNNNNNNNNNNNNNNNNNNNNNNNNNNNNNNNNNNNNNNNNNNNNNNNNNNNNNNNNNNNNNNNNNNNNNNNNNNNNNNNNNNNNNNNNNNNNNNNNNNNNNNNNNNNNNNNNNCGUUAGCGAUAUUCGAGUGCCUCAACUACGUUCCCUCAGUGGUGAGUCCUCAUGGUUCGAGGACCGUGUCUAUAUUUUUGGUGAUAUCAUUCUGUUGUUAAGGCUUUCAGUACUGUUUGAGUCAGUUGGGGGUUUGUCCCAAUGGCUACUUGAUUUUGAUGUAUAGAGGCUUUGUCAGACUAGAGGGUUGGUAUGUACAGACAUUCAAUAUAUUUUGGUUGUACAGUCUAGUAUUCUCCAGUAUUUCUCUUGAACUCGGUGCAGUAUAUCUCUUUGUUGUACAUGACUAUUGUUGAAUUGAAUUCCUUGAGGUAGUGUCUGGCUCCGAGGGUUAUCUUGGGGCUAUGUGUAGCCCUAAGCACCGUGUGGCGUCUCGGAAUGAAAUUUCGUGGCAUUACACAAGAGUUCCAUUAAAAUACAUUAAUGCAAUAAAAACAUUCUUGUGAGCAUUUUGUCAAACACAUUGGGGGCAUAAUGUAACCAAAACCAGUUCCAAUUACCAUUUAACCAUUUCCAUGCAAUCCAAGAAUUCAAAACCACCAUUGAUGCAUAUAAAGCAUAAUUAAAACCAUGAGAAACCAUGACCCGCUAUUUAUAAUCAAAAACCCCAAAUCAUAUUUGAAAACCAAAAGCAUACAAUAAUGAUAUCAUGAAAACCAAUAGUAAAAACCAUGUCUUUAGUUGGAACUAAUAAUGAGGGAAAAGAAUAUGCCUUAAUUGACAAAGUAGAUGGUGAGAAAUCACCAACAAGAUCCCCAAAUUGGUCCUCAAGAUGAAACCCUAGCUUCCCUUGCCCAAAAGCUCUUGAGAGGAUUAUAGAGUGUUUAGGAAUAGUUUCUAAGUGUUAAUGAAUAGAAUAAUAGGGUAAAUACUUUCCUAAUUAGGUUAGAACUCAUGGUGUCCUAUUAGGUUAAGUGGAAAAAUGUCCAGAAUACCCUCACUUAAGUUGUUUAAAAAUUUCAUCACAGGGAUACAACUGACCCACAUAAGUUAUACCCUUCGAUACGAUUGGUACCCGUCAAUCGUAUUCUAAGCCUUAGUCCUUGGACCCAACACUGUCCAACAUACAACUCAUUCAACUUAAGUCAUACCCACAACAUACGAUUAGUACCUUCAACCCGUACCCCUGACAAUAUAGAAAUAUCAAGAGAAUUGAAUAUUGUCUACCAUAUGAGUACAAGAUACGACUCGUAUACUGUCUUAUGGCUCAAGGUGAGCCACUCGUACUCAAAUUCAACUUAAGUUACUAACUCUAAAGAAAAACCCAACCCAUACGAUCCGUAUCCAACUAUACGACUUGUACCACCUAAGUCGUACCCAUUUCAGUGACCAAAUCCAUUCCACUAAUCAACAUCGAUCAGCCUAUGAUAGAUCCAUACCAUCCGUACCCCAACAUACGACUCAUACCCCUGAGUUGUAUUGGGUCCGGAGAACAAAAUUCCAAGAAAUUUUCUAAGGUCCAGAAAUCAGGAUGCUCCAAUAAUCUUUCGUAUGCUUAUAUCACUAAAACUAAAACAUCACAAGAUGCAUAUUUAUACACAGCCAGAUUACCAUAGAUACAAGAACAUGAAAAAUCUGUCAUGAGUGGAAAAAUAUGUAUCUCGACCAACUUAAUUCCUAGAAAAAAAUACUUCCUCCGUUUAAAAAAGAAUGACUUACUUUCCUUUUUAAUCCGUUUAAAAAAGAAUGGCCCCUUUUCCUUUUUGGCAAUACUUUAAUUACAACUUUCCACAUGGCAUGUUUAGGACCACAAGAUUAAAGGGCAUUUUGGUACAUUUGACACAAUUUUAAUUUAAGGCCACAAGAUUCAAAAGUCUUCUUUAUUUUCUUAAACUUUGUGUCAAGUCAAAAUAGGUUAUUCUUUUUUAAACGGAUGGAGUAUAAAAUAUAAGUACUUUAAUAGAUAAGGAAAUUAUAGGAUGUCUAUUUUUUAUAUUUAUCAAUUAAAAUUAAUUAAACAAUAUGUAAUUUAACAGAAAUUGAAUAUUAUAAUAAAAACUUUUAAGAGAAUUAAUCGAUUAGUCAAACAAUUAAAAAUACAAAGACAAACAAAAUAAAUAGAGUAGUUUAUCAUAUUAUUAUGAUAUACCGAAUGUAAAGACUCAAGUGGCAAGAAAAAGAAUGUACGAAAAAAUAAUUUUAUCAACUACAUGUCACAAUUUUAGAGGGAGAAAAAUAAUUUUAUCAACUAUUGUCAUAAUAUUAGAAGAAAAAAUAAUUUACCAAUACAUGUCUCAACUUUAGAGGAUUUUAAGAAUGUAUAAGUAUAAUUUUAUUUCAUAAAAAUAUCAAUCAAUUUUUUUUUUUUAUGAAAAUAGUCUUUAUUAGGUAAUCUAAUCUAUUAAGAAAUUAAUAUUUUUUCAUUAAAUAAUCCAUAAGGAAAAUUGAGUUUUGCAUAUAUAAAAGGGUCAAGAUAUGAGUAAUAUAUUAUAUAUUUACUUAAAUUAAAAUUAAGAACUAAUUAAGGUUGCCCAUUAUUUUUUCAAUGAAAUUAUUGUAAAAUCCGGUCACAAUAACUUUUAUAAUGGUCGGAGUAAAGUUAAAUGACCAUGGAUGAAAUGAAUGAAAAAAAAAAUGACUUUUGCUUAAUAGAUACAAAGUUAAGUGAUCAUGGAUGAAAUGAAUGAAAGAAAAAUAAUUUUUGCAUAAUAGAUAUAAAGUUAAGUGACCAUGGAUGAAAUUUACCCAAACAAAUGCACAAUGAUUUAUAAAUAUUUCUGUACUUGGUGAAAAUCAUUUGUAGUAAGUUGUUCUCCUUGCUCUUGGUGCCGUGGACAUGCUAAACCAAACAAAAAAAAUCAAAGAGAUAAACUACACCUCGAUUUUUCACCUCCGACUCUAACAAAAAUUACAAAAAUAGUAUCUUGCCUCCUAUCUUCAACUUAAUGUUGUGAAUAGCAAAACACUCCACUCAGCACUUAAAGUGGGACGUGAGGGCGAGGUGAAGUAAACAUGUAUUUAUUUCUUUGACCAUCACAUGCUAUGAAGUUGAAAUUUUUGUGGAAGACAAAGAUAUGGACUAAGCUGCUGGUAAGCAUUUAUUAUCAUCACCAAAUAUUUCAUCUCUUGUGAAGCUUCCUGCAUACAUGGAAUAUAUUGAAAAUCUUUGCAUCUCGCGAUCAGCAAAAAGAUAAAAGAACAAUUGUUAUUGACAGUGACCAACAACUAAUUUUUCAUUGGCAGACAACUAAAAUAAAAAUCCUGUAAUGAUAUUCAAUGUUGGAUUUUUUUGUUAAAUAGACCUUUUUAAGUCUAUUAUUUAAUUAAAUGGACCAUAAAUUUUUUUUAUUUAGUGAGAUGACUUAUUUUUUCGACAGAUCUAUUAUCUGUCCGAUAGUUAAUUCACAGAUCUAUUAUUUGUCCGAUAGAUAUAUAGACAGAUUUAUUAUCUGUCCGACAAAUAUAUAGACAAAUCUAUUAUAUGUUUGACAGAUCUAUUAUCUGUCCGAUAAAUGAGAAAAUAAAAAUAGGUCAUUUUGCUAAUUACAAAUUUGAAGAGGGUUGAACAUUUUGCUAAAUGCAAACUUAAAAAGGCUUAAUAGCCAAAUUUUCUCUUCAAAUGUUAACUAUCUUAUACUCCCUCCGUCCUAUUUUACUCAUUUCAAAUUUUCUAAUUUGAUUUCACAUUUUACUUAUCAUUUUUCAUUAAUCAAGACAAAAUAAUUUUUUUUUCUUUUUUUGCCAUUAGUAUUAAUUAUUUUUUCUCUAAAUUAAAAUGUAAACAUUCUUUAAUAGGGUAUUAUGGUAAAGUAACGAUAUUAUUAAUUAUUUUUCUUAAUCAAUAUGCAAUAUCAAAUUGGGACUAGAUGAGGCAAUUGAGAACUGCACCGUUGUUUAUUUUGAACUUUGAACGUUAAAUAAAAGUCCAUAUCACCAUCUUUUUGAAUUACUAUGUUGCUUGGACUCUUCAAAGGAAUCAAUGAGUGCGCCUUAGAUUCUAUACUAGAUGGUUAUUGCCCGUGCACGGGCCCAACAUUUUACAUUUUGAUGCGAUCUUCAAUUUACAUUUUACAUUUUUACAGUGUUUUGAUAAUGACAUAUAGCAGUGUCUGAACAAAUAGAAUGACAAUUUAGAAACGGGAGAAACAUAACACUAAUUGGAUUGAAAAUAACAGGUACCAUAUAUGUAAAAUGAAUAAAAUGUGGCAUAUAUAAUAAUAGAGUAACAAUUAAUUGAUAGAAGUUGUAUCAUGUAUCCUACUUACAAAAUUGUAUUAAGGUGACAUGAUUAAGUAGCCGUUUGGCCAUGAAAAUUAAAAUUUUCUGAACUUGGAGUUGAAGUUGGAGUUGAAAUUGGAGUUGGAGUUGUGUUUGACCAUGUCUUUUUUGAAUUUUUUUUUUGACUUUUGAAAAAACCUUUUUAAAUAUGAUUUUAUGUCUUAACUUUUACAAACUAUCAAAAUCACUCAACUAAAAUUUACCUACUAAUGAAAAAAGAACACAAUUAGCCACUAUUAUAAAAAUAAUUACAUAUACAUGACCAUAUUUAAUGAAUUUCAAUUAUGACAUAUAUAAUAUUUACAUUAAUAGUUGUUUUCUCAUAUUUGAAAAUUUAAAUAUGGAUGUUAUAUUAACAGAUCACUGCUUCCUAUUUUUAGGUAACAAAUAUUAUCUUUCAAACAAAUUUAUUUUUUUAGGAAUUUAUUUAAUUUAUUUCCUUCAUUUUUCGUUCCUAAAAAAUAGGAAAUGAUGAGUUGUUAUUAAAUUUUAGGGUGCCGUUAGUUUAUUUCUUUAAUUUUCUUAUACAUGAAAGAUUUUACAGUGUGAAUAAAUUAUUUCUAUGUAAAACAUGCUUUGCAUAUUUAUGAUAUAUUAUAUCAUAUACCAUAAAUAUAUAAAUAUGCUUGGUAUGUUUCUUUAUACUUUGUAUUUUUAUAUAUGUGUGUAUAUGGUAUAUACAUGGUAUAGACUUCAUAAAUAACAUACUUUGUAUAUUUAUAUUAUAAAUAUACUUAAUAUAUUUCUUAAUACUUUGUAUAUUUAUAUAAGUGUGUAUAUGGUAUAUAUACAUGGUAUAAACUUUAUAUAUAAUAUACUUUGUAUAUUUCUAUUAUAAAUAUAAUACUUUAUAAGUUUUGUGGGUAUAUAUAUAAUACUUUAUAUAUUUAUGGGUAUACUUUAUAUAUUUAUGGGUAUAAAUAUAAAUUAUCAGUAAAAUAAUGUCUUAAAUAAGGGAGAAAAUUAAAUAAGGGAUAAAAAUAAUGAUGAGAGAGAAAAAGAGAUAUAUAUUAAUUAGGAUAGUAUUAAAUUUGAAAUUAUAAUUAUUUUAUUCUUUAAAAUUUCUAUAUACGUAAUAUUUAAAAAGUAAUGUUAUAAGGAGAGUUUUAUGUAAAAAUUUAAAAGAUUGGGGUUAUAUGUAAUAAUAAUAAAAGUUGGAAUUGGAGUUGGAAAAUUAUGAAAACAACAAAAACCUACUUUCCCUUUUCAGAAAAAUUUUCGAAAAUUAUUUUCCGAAUUUUCAUGCCAAACACCACAAUUUCCAACUCCGAAAAAAAUUUUUGGAAAAAAGGGAAAAAAUUUCAUAGCCAAACGGCCCUAAUAAUGUCAAAUUAGAUUCAAUUUGUUAAUCUCAGCAAAGUACUUAUUCCAACCCUCAACGCAAAAUGUACAUAUACAUGUGAUGAAGAUACGACACCACAAAUAUACACAUUUAUGGAUAAACUGACACAAAGUAUGCCUAGUAUAUUAGCUACUGCAUCUUUUUACUCCUUGCAUCUUUUUGCUCCUUGUCAAUUGUAGUUGUCUUGUUUAUCUGCGUUAACACUGGAACUACAAAACUUUAUAAUUGAUAAUAAGUACAAAGAUGUGCAUAGCAAUUCCUUAAUUAGCAUAGAUCUGAUUUGCAUGUUUUCCCAAUCAGUUCUUUGAUUCUUGUUUUAGGAAUUGAUGACUCAGUUGCAAAAUGCAUCUGGUGAGGGUAAAAUAUUCCUUCUGUCUUCUCGCUCUCUCUGACUUCAUUCUCCGAAGGAAGAGUUAAAGAGUUUUAUGCAACUGAUUUACUCUGUAUUUACCAAGCUUGGAUAGCUCUCUGACUUCAUUCUCCGAAGGAAGAGUUAAGAGUUUUAUGCAACUGAUUUACUCUGUAUUUACCAAGCUUGGAUAGCUGAAAUGGGACAAAAUGUACCAACAUAUCAUAUUGACCUAUUUGUUUAGUCAAGUGCAAUAUUUAUUUAUUCGGGAGUUCAUAGGUGUUUUCUAGCUUACAAUGAUGUUUAUUUUUCUUUGAGAAAGUUAACAGUUUUAUAGACAAGAAAUACACCAAUAAUGUGUUUCAUCAAUAUUUAGAGGAGAACAUCAAAAACUUCUAUCACCUGCUCUCUCAUAAGCUAUCUAAAGUAUGAGUAAUUUCCUCCACCUCAUUAAGCAGGGUACGUAUACACCAAAAAUAAAAGGUCACUAAGAAGUUCAUUUUCAAACUCUAGAAGAGAUGCUUUUGUUAAAAUAUCUCUGAUUCCUUUUCUACCAUAUUGUCCACCAGAUGCAGGGACAGUCGUCCAUCUCUCGUUGUGUCCUGACAUGCUCCCAUCUCUGUUCAAGCGUGCUAGUAUAUCUGAAGUAUCUCUUGGCAUGACCAAUCCGAUACCCUUAAGGUUGAGAAAAAUGUGACAUAGUUGAGCCGUCAACUUGUAAUGUUAAGAAGAAAUGAUUUGUUGUCUCUGUUUAGUUUCACACAAAAAAUCAUCCGGAGCAUAACUGCCUCCCUGUUUGCAUAAGAUUGUCCUAUGUUAGGAUUGCUUGUUUGGCCACUAACCAGGUAAAUCAAGCCACCUUGAAUGAAAUCUUGAUUCCCCAUAUCAUCUUCCAUGUCCAUGUUCCAUGAGAACUUGCAGGAGUAUCCAAAAGUCUCUAUUGCUGGCUUCACAGUAAAGUUCCCAUCUUUGGUCUUUAACUUUCUUCUUUGCAUUGAGGUUCUUGGCAUGUUCAAUAGUACUGUAGAACUGUAACAAACAUAACCAUGAUGGAAGACUCAUUUAGGAAAUUGGCAAAUUAUGUUCCUAGCUAAGGAAAGGAGCAUGUGCACUUUCUGAGGAUGCUUAUAUAUACUAACAGAAGACAUACUUUAUUAGAGUCAUGUUACAAAGUUAUCUUUUGUUUUCUUAGCUAAAAUUAGGGGGUGUACAAACCAAACCGUCAAGUCAAACUGAACCGACGAACCAAAUCAAAUUGAGAAAAAAAACCGACUUAUGGUUUGGUUUGAUUGGUUUGGCGUUAGAAAAAAAAAACCGAUCAUUCUUGGUUUCGAACCCGAAUCAAACCGACAUAAUAUAUAUAUGUAUAUAUAUAUUAGAAGUUUUUUAUACAUAAAAUAUUAACUAUAAUCUGCUUUUGAAAUAUUUUUUCAACUAGUUUUAGUAAUUUUCAAUAAUUUAAAAGUAGGUGUAGAUAUAUAUUUAGAUAUGACCCUUGAAGUUGUACUCCAUAUUUAGAUUUGGCCCUUGAAGUUGUACUCCCGCCGUUUCGAAUUAGUUGACCCUCUUUCUAAAAAUAUUUUUGUCAAUUUAUUUGUCCGAUUUAUCAAAUAAAGAUUAUUUUACACAAAUUCUUUCCAUUAUACCCUUAAUAGGUAUUAAAUAUAACUACACUUUUCAAAAUUUUUAAAAAUAACACUUAUAUUUUUAAUACAAACUUUAUGAAACUUGACUUUUUUUCUUCUUUUCAAGGAGUACUAUUAGUAUUCCUAUAAGAUUUUCAAUCCAUGCAUGCAUAUGCUACAAUUUUCCAUGCUUAAUUAAUUAUUGAGUCUUACAAUGUUAAGAAGGGUAAAAAGGUAAAAUAUACUCCUAAUCAUUGGAUUUCUUAAUGGGUGUGCCAAGGUUGAAAGGACCAUCUAAUUCGAAACGAAGGGAGUAAUAUUUGUCCAUUAAUUGCUAAUUAAAUGAUCGAAAACUCAAUAUAAAUUUAAAACCUAAACUUUUCACUCUUCAUCUCACUUUUUAGUUUUAAGAAAGUUUUUCGCUCCUCAUUUUUUCAUAAUUAUGGUUUUUCAUUAGCAUAUGAGUGAAAAUAUAUUUGAUCUAAUCUUCGAUCACAAUAUAACUGUAAAAACUAAAGAUUAUAAAAAAAAAACCGAAAAAAUCGAAAAACCCAAAAAAACCGAUUAAAACCUAAAUCAAAAAAAUCAAUUUUAUGUUGGUUUGAUUUGAUUUAUAGUUUUAAUAAACCGACAUGAUUGGUUUGAUUUUUUUUUUUUUAAUAAAAAUCGAACCAACCCGACCUAUGUACACCCCUAGCUAAAAUUUUAGCAUUCUGGAACCUCUCUUUUCUAUUUUCCUUUUGUUUCUAUGAUGAACUUAUGAUAAUUGUUCUCCUAAUUAAUAUGAUUCCCCUCGUUUCAAUGAUGCUUUCAUUGAAAUCAAAAUUUGACUUUCUACUAUGCCUAGCAGGGAUAGCAUUAAGGUAAGCAUCAAAUAAUAUAAGAAAAUACAUGGCAGAGAUGUCUUUUGUUGUCAAAAUACAGCUUACAGUGAGUGCCUUCACCCUUAAUGAAGGUUUGUGUGCAAUUUAUUUCUUCGAAUUCCAUCUGUAGAGUUGCACUGCAUAUACUAUUGUGCUCAUUUGUUGUCUUACUUUACUUUUUAGUCAAUUUUAAUACUUUUUGAUAACUCUUUAGUUACAACCUUUUCAAAUUUCAUAUUUAAUGAAGAUCACAAGAUUAAAGAGUAUUUUCAUACAUUUUAUAUAUUUUUUAGUUUAAGAUCUUAAGAUUCAAAAAUCUACUCGACUUUCAUGAGUUUCGUAUCAAAUGAAUACCACCACCAACAACAAUAACAUGCCUAAUAUAAUCACAUAAUAUCGAUAUAAGAGAGUAGUGUACUCAAGCCUUAUCCUACCUCGAAGUUAGAGUUAUUUUUGAUAGACCCUCGCAACUAUAGAAACAAUAGUUCAAUCGGCAAGAUGGAUAUCCAUGAAACAUAAAAAAAAUGCAGAAACUAAAUAAUUAAUGGAUUUGUCUAUAAGAAAUAAUUGAUACCAAGCAAUAAUAAAUGCUCACAGGUGCCGGGGAAAAGUUUACUUAUACUUGGUCUAUGUGCAAAAUCGAUAAAUACAUGAGUAUUUUCCUGAACAAUCCAUGUGAUCUGCUUGAUGAACGUUCACGAUGAGGCAUUGUGAUAAGUCUUUUGUCCGACUACAGGUGCCGGGUAAAAAUUUAUUUACACAUGGUCUUUGUGCCAAAUCUAUAAAUAUAUGAGUAUUUUUUAUACGCACCUUUAUCACUAACCAUGAUUAAUUGAAAAAUAUUAUCAACCUAAUCUAUCAUUUUUCAAUUGAUUUAUAUUAUCACCCUAAUCUAUCACUUUAGUAAACUAAUGUUGAUUUGGUAUGAACAUGAUGACACUGAUUCCAAACUCAAACAGAGUUUGUGACUGGGUUAUUCCUUGAAAUAGCCCAACUGUCUACAGUCUACUGCUAUUACUAUUUUGGAAAAAGUUAGAUAUAGAAAUGACCCAAUUCAGGAAUAUCAAAUAGAGGUUCAUAUAUAGGGUCAAACUAAGGGCCACACUGUAGUUUCUUUAAAGCUAGAUGCUUUUUAGAUCUCACUGUAUGCCACUGAUAUACAAGUAUUGAACCAAAUCAAACAUUUCAGGCACUAAUUUUAGUGAGUGUAACAAAAACACCUAAGCUUCAAUCCAAUGAGUUCACGUCAAAUGUAUGACUACUUGCUUCAACUAUGUUACGUUCUUAGCUAAUGUAAUAUCCUGAAAAAUUCAAAUUAAUGUUAGAGCCAUGUUUCAAGCUCAUGCAAAGUACAUUAGAAUUCUUUAUAGUUUUAUGAGUGAGUUUGAUGUAUCUUAAGGCCUCAAAUAACUCCCAGCUAUUAGGCGAAUCAAAAUAUUCCUUACCAAUUGAAUUUUCGGAAAGAAUAUUGCUUUAGUCAACUUCAAUCGAGCAUAUCUUUUACUCUACUAAGAAUUUUGCAUCUCAAGACCCACCAAAUAAUAGUAAAUUGAACUAGCUUUCCAACGAUGCCAAUUUCGCAAAAAUUUGAUACCUGAGUGAGAAGUUAUGACACUUUUAGUGAAAGGUAGUGGCCCAUCGCGAUAAGGCCACAUCGCGGAGAUGGCCAAAAUCAUGUUCGUCCUUUUUCAGUGGACCACCGCAAUAAUGCCGCAUCGCUCCAAGGGGCGAAUUCGCGUUCAAUGGGGCACCGCGAUACCGUUGCGUCGUGCCAAGGUGCCCAUUCAGAAUUGUCCGUUUCCAGUGGUGCAACGCGGUAGCAUCGCGUUGUGCCGUUGGGCAAAAUGGAGAUUGUCAUUUUCCAGUGGUGCAACACGAUAAGCACCACGUCGCGCUAGAGCCAAAAAUCGGGAUUUCCAGUUUUGCGAUUUAAUUUUCAGGGAUCGUUUGGUCUAUUCCCAUGGCCCUAAAAUCCAUCCAAAACACGAAAUUAAAACCCUAAAGGGGCAUCAUGUGCCCUAUUACUCAUAAUUUCUCUCCAAGAAACUAAUCUCCUCUCAAGAACAAACCCUAGCCUUCAAGAUUCAAGAUCAAUUCUUAAGAAAACCCCCAAGAACUCUUACGAAUUUAUCAACCUAGGUAUGUUAAGUGUUCAUCCAUUGGUCCCUUUUACCCAUGGAGCCCAAAAAUCUAAUUUUUAAAUUCAAAGUUAUGAUCUCUUACAAGUUAUUAUGAUUUUAAACAUGAAUUCCCAUGAAUCUUGAUUCUAUACCAUAUUUACAAUAAAUUAUUGUUGUUAUUGGACCCCGCAUGUUCAAGUAGUGUUAUUCGCUAAUUUUAAUCAUAAUUAGUGAUGUUGAUGUUGAAAUCAUGCUAUUUCUACAAGCUUUAAACUAUUACCAGUCUUAGCUUAAACUAUGAAUAUCAAGUGUUUGAUGAAAUGCCUACAAGAAUGAAUUUUGAAUUAAUGCUUUCAUAUUAUGUCUCCAAAGUUUUAAUACUAUUUUACUAUUAUUGUUAUCGAGUCCUGGGGUUUAUGAAUACCCAAAAAUUUAGUUUUUACUUAGUCUCAGUAUCUUCAAAAUAGUUUCAGACAUGUUAUGAGCAAUAUCAGUUCAGUUAGUUAUCAUGAUUAGUUAAACUUAGAACAAUUCAGUAUUUCUAGUUAGUUUAGUUAGGUGUAGGAUUUAGCGCCGAGCGAGUGUCGGGAUGACGGCUUCCCUAUCAGUUGGUAGAGUCGUUAGCAGUAGUCUCUGUACUCCAGAACUACGUAGCCAGCAUAGGAUUUGAGGAGUCACCCAUCAGUUCAGGCUUGACUACCUCUCAAGGGUUACCCGUCAGUUUAGGCUUGACACCCUGGUCCUUUGGGGCAUUAGUAUAGUAGAUCCACACAGCCAGUGUUAGUACCCAUGGCACGGUACUAACACCCUUCCAACCGGAGUCACAGGUUGGACCCCAAAUUUCUUAUUGGAGCAUGUCGGUUAGAUGAUAGCUCCUACUGUCUCAGUCUAGUAAUCAGCUCAGUAAUUCAGUUUCAGUUUUGCUUGACCAUAGAAAACAGAUAUCUAUUACUCAUGUAUUAGUACACAAUAUUUCAGUUUAUAGAUUAUAUUCAGAACAUGAUUUAUGCUUGGUCAUGCAUUCUCAGUAUUUAUAUUUCAUACAUUCUAUUCAGUACUUCAUGUUAUUCAUUUAGUCAGUUAUUACUCCUGUACAUGAAACCAUAAAUAUUAGCCUACCUCAUUUAGCAUACCAGUACAUUCAAAGUACUGAUUGCAUACUCAUUUCUUGCGCUAUGAUGUAUCAUAUCAUAGGUUUGGAUGCUCCAUUCUUGGAUCACGCAUAGACUUUCCAGCUUAUC